rnacentral:lncRNA from 1 species
UGCCAUUAGAUCCCAUUUCCAAAGAAUUAAUAUUUCAAUCGUAAAAUAAAUGAAUCGAGGAAAAGCACAUAUCGAAGGCUUAUGGGCGAUAAAUAUGAACAGCCCAUGCGCUCAAAAAUUGUGCAAAAUCAUAAAUCUUUCUUCUUUUUUUUACUAUAUCCUCUCGACAUUGCCCGAGGAUUUCGAAGAAUGAUGACAUUGCUAAAUCCUGCUGUUGAUAUCAAAUUUAUUUGUAUUCUUUGAUGGGGUGGGGUUUGUUAAUCUUUAUUUGUUUCUUGAUUUGUUUAUUGGGUUUUUGUUAUUCAAACUGUGAGAAUUUUGAAUGUUGUUGCCCGAUUUCGUUGUUAGAUCAUGAAAAAUAUGUUAAAAGUAUCGCCUUUGUGAAUUAAUUGAUUGAUGUGUUAAUUGAUUUGAUCUAUGUGUUUGGUCUGAUGUGAUUGUGAUUGGUUUUGACAGAUUGGAAGUUGUAGAGAAAAUGUCGAACCCGAAAGUUUUCUUUGACAUAUUGAUCGGAAGGAUGAAGGCGGGUCGAGUUGUAAUGGAGUUAUUUGCUGAUAAAACCCCGAAAACUGCUGAAAAUUUCCGUGCUCUGUGCACCGGAGAUAAGGGGAUGGGAUUAUCAGGGAAGCCACUGCACUUUAAGGGAUCCACAUUCCAUCGCAUUAUCCCGAACUUCAUGUGCCAGGGUGGAGAUUUCACAAAAGGCAACGGAACUGGGGGAGAGUCGAUUUAUGGGGCGAAAUUCGCGGAUGAGAACUUCAACUUGAAGCAUACUGGCCCUGGAAUUUUGUCCAUGGCGAAUUCUGGACCUAAUACGAAUGGUUCACAGUUCUUCAUUUGCACAGCGAGCACACCUUGGCUUGACGGAAAGCACGUUGUGUUUGGAAAAGUUGUCAAUGGAUACAGUGUUGUUGAGAAGAUGGAAAGGGUGGGUUCGGAGCGUGGGACUACUUCUGAACCUGUUGUGAUCGAAGAUUGCGGUCAGAUAAAAGAUGAGUGUUGAUGUUUGAAUAGUUGGGGAAGUUUCAAGUAACGUCAUAGCUUAGGGUUGCUUUUAGUACUAUAGUUAGUUUCAAGUUUCAAGCAAAAAUGGUGUUUUGUUUGAAGAAAACUGAUGUAAUGCAAAUAAUACUUUGAAUGGAUGUAUAUUUUCUUAAAUGCUUUGAAUGUGUAUAAUCGUGGCUAUUUAUCUUUUUAUCGUGUGUGGUGACUUAGAGCAUUUUUAACGACUUAAAAAUAGAGAGUAUGAUUGGAGAUGGUCUAAGACUAUAAUGCGAUUACGAAGAAAUAGUGAAAUUUUGGGUUCUUUUGUUGUAAUGAGGUCGGAUUAAUUUCACUAACGGAACUAUGCCAAAGUCCAUUCCAAAUUGUGCUAAACAAGCCUUGAGGAGGCAUUUUGUAAGAAUGAAACCAAACCAUAAAAGAUAAAACCAAUUUGCAAUAUGUGAAGUAGCUCAAUAUCUUAUAAUCUUUGCAAGUUUCCUCUUUUAACUGAUGUGAAACUCUUUUACCUCUACAAUUCCUCUCAUGCGUGGUGAAUUUUCAAGCCAAACAUGUGGACAACACAAAUUGGGAGAAGUUGAGCACAUGUGACCGUUGGGCUUCAUAGGUGGGCCAACCUAGCUCUAAUACCAUAAAGAAGUUGAGGUUCCAUCAUAAAAACAAUUGGCAAUAUGAGGAGUAACCCAACCUCUUAUAAGCUCUUACAAGGUUUAUCCUUUGACAAUGUGAGACUUUAUUAUCUUCACAUCCUCACAAUGAGAAUAAGAGGGCAAAGUCCCACAUUCGUGAAUGUAGGGGCUUAUAAGGAGUUAGGCUACUCCCCAAUCUUCAUUCAUGGUAUCAUAGUACAUUACCCCAUAUGUGAAUUUCAACGACCAUGUGCUCCACGUUACCCAAUUUGUGCACGUGAGGGGGCGUGUGAUAAUAUGAGAAUAAAAUCCCACAUCAGUGAAGGACCAAACCAUGCAAGGGCUUAUAAAGAUUUGAACUACUCCCAAUAUUGCUAAUUGAUUUUGUAGUAGAAACCUACUUCAGGAAGGCCAUCGAAGACCAUAACAAGAACCAGAGACGGUCUGCCGAUCCCGAGGUGGUGAGAAACGUGAAGGGGUAUAUGCAGUUCACAUGGUUUAUGCACAUUUUGUACAUACUCAAAACAUUUAGAAAGGAAAAAGAAGAAGUCCAAGAGCUGCCAAUAGCCUUUAUACAAGCAAAUGUGUAUUUUAGCUACAUUUAGGUGAUGGGUUUUGUCAAUUGCUUCCAGAUUUGAAGGUUGUCAUGUUUUCACAACAUUGCAUAUAAAAAGGGGGGAGGUUGAAGUUGAAUACCCAAGAUAUCACACACUUCAUUACUUGAAAGUACAAUGGCAACUGCUGGUGAGUUUUGGCUACAUUAUUAUAGUUCAGAGAAGCGAUUUCCGCACAUCUCUGUUAUCUCUCUGCACGCCUUGUUUAUCUAGGAGCGGAAAGAAACAGGGCCGUACAAAUGGGGAAAAAGAUUGUAUAAAUCACUUUUCUUUUUUAAUUGUUGUUGCUAAUAAUAUUUCAGAAGUGAAUCUGAUUACAUUGCUUCCAUGGUGAUCAUGAUCAGAUGGUCGGAAGUUUACCACUAUCCUUAGCAUUGAUGGAGGAGGAGUGAGAGGCAUCAUUCCGGCGACCAUGCUCGCCUUUCUCGAGUCCGAACUCCAAGUUAGCGUGUCUGCUUCCGCCAGACUUUUUUUCGUUUCUUCGGAACCUUGAAUUUGUUCAUCAUUCUUACCUAAUUGAUUGAUUUACAAAAUGCUUCCUCCUAAACGAAUAGAAACUGGAUGGAAAAGAUGCAAGGAUUGCACACUGCUUUGACUACAUUGCUGGAACCAGCACAGGAGGCCUUGUUGCUGCUAUGAUUACCACACCAAAUAAAAAAAAGCAACCUCUGCUUUAUGUACAUGAACUCAAGAAGUUUUAUUUUGAUGAGCGUCCAUACAUAGUGCCUCAAGAACCGACUAAAACCGCUCGAAUGUAUGUUCCAUAAGAGGACACUAUUUUGAAGUGCUGAUAACAAUCUCACUGUAUAUAUCUUAUGAAUUGAACUGUUGGAUCGGUCUUUCCAGCAUACCCGCUUGAAACAUUAGACUUGUUAUAUGGAUUGACAUAUAAGUUUUUCUUGAAUCGUUGAGCAAGCAGCUCUGAAGUCAGCAAUGGCCUCUCAUAUUCCUUCGAGUGCCGCUUGUGUGGUGGAAUAUGAGCCAUUCCAGAACUAGCACUCAUACCACCACGAAUACCUCUAUAGCCUUUGCCACGACCACGUAAGGUACCAGGACGACCGCCACGAGCAGCAGCGGGAGCAGUGCGUCUAGCAUCAGCAAAGAAGACAGUAUGCAUCCUUUGUUUCCGCUCAGCAGUGAGCAGAAGGGCCUCUGAAGCACUGUGAGAUAUGGCUCCAUCACGAUCCUGAGCAGAAGCCACGGUGCUUUCACAUGCAGGGCCAACAUUGUUGAGAACAAUGGCAGCAAUGUCUGAGUCAGAAACAGGAGCACCAGAUAAGGAGAGGGCGUCAGCAAGGCAACUGACACGAUUGAGAAACUCAGCAAUUGAGGAGUCGCCACGGUGGGUGUUCAUCAGCUCACCGUGAAGUUGAAGAAGACGGCCAGUGGGCUGCAAAUCAUAGCAUUCGCGCAGACAGGUCCAUGCAGAAUGAGAACUGGUUUUCCCGAUUAGGGCACCCAACACAGUGGUAUGAACAGAGCUCUUGAUCCAGAACAUAACCAUAGCAUCUUGUUGAAUCCAUGCUUCAAACUCCGGAUUCACAGUAUCAGUAAGAUUGCCCUCAUCAUCUUUGAGAAAGGCAGGAGGACAUUUGCUAGUGCCAUCAACAAAGGAGACGAGAUUCCUGCUACGAAGCAAGGUAAGCAUCUGGGCUUGCCAGAGAGGGUAAUUGGUAGGGUCAAGUUUAAUCGGAAGAAAGUUGGAAACGUUGGAAGAGCUGGAAGAGUUGGACGCCAUUUGAAAGAAAAAGGAAAUGCUUAGGAUCAGUGGCGAAGCCACGUGGGGGCGAGGAGUGGCGGCCGCCACUCCCCUCGCCGGAAAACACCACUGGAAAGCUGGGUUCGCCACUCCCCUCGCCGGAAACCUCACUGGUUCAUCUCCUCUGGAAUGCGACGACGAUUACGAAUACAAUUGGAGCUGCGAACGAGUUCCGGUGCUCCGAUACGGCUUCUACUACCUCUCCCAUGUCUGAUUGUUUCCUUUGCUCUGGUGUUCCGUACGAAACACCACCUUCUUCUUCGUUUCGGAUUUUCGAUGCUUCUCUGCAACCGGGUAAGUUGCUACAGACCCAAGUCUAAAACUCCACUGGGUAACCCCCGAUUCAAUUGGGCCUGUUGGGGAUAAAUUGUUCGAAAUGGUCCAAUCAAAUAGAAGCCCUAUUUUCCCCAAAUAUGAUAAAUCACGAGUUUAUGGUUCUUGUAGUUGGAUUUUUUUAUAUAAAUAUUACGUAUAAUUGAAUAAUACGGAAAAUAAACAGUUGAGAAUCAAAAUAUAAGAUCUAAGUAUUUGUGAAAAGCAAAUUUAAUUGUGAAAACACUCGUAUGAUUGAACAAUACAUAGCAUUAAAGCCAAAAUUUUAAUUUUGUUUAAUAUAUUUUCAGUUGUAUCAAAUUUGAUCAUUGUAAUUUCCUAGUUGUUGCAACAUGAAAAUAUAUCCUUAUGUUUGUUUUACUACUAUAUCCACUAUGUUAAACCCACACUCGUUUUACUACCAUAUCUUUCAAAUAUUCUGAGUAGUCCUCCUCCUCCUCAAAUAUUCUAAGAAGUCAUCCUUCAAAUAUUCCAAGUAAGUCACAACAAAGUGAGGUCACUGAGUUGGAUGAAAUAUUGGCUAAUCUUCUUGCAGAUCCUGCACAUAAACGUCGAAUGAUUGAUUAUCCACCUAAUUAUCGUGAAGCAAUUCGUAGACAUUAUCUCCAAAUUGUAAUUUGUUUGUAUUGAUUAAUUAUGGAAGACAUUACUAGAUAAAAAGAUUUAGUUGUUGUCAUUUUUCUUUAACCUUGCAUUCUUUUAAGUUCGCCCCUCCCCUCAAGAAAUCCUGGCUUCGCCACUGCUUAGGAUGAAUGCUUUGAAUAAACUCAGCUUAAUGAAUUAUGAGUGAGGCUUCCCCUCGAUUAUAUAGGAUUACAACUUGCUACAGGGAUUUUUCUUUUUCUUAUACAACUUGCUGGAGGGUUUUUUUUUUUUUUUUCUUUUUCAUUUUAGAGACAACUUGGUGGAGGGUUAUAUGCUUUUUUCAUGACAAACCUUGGUGGAGGGUUAAAUGCUUUUUUUGUGACAAGCCUUGCCGGAGGGUUUUUUCUUUAAUUUUUGCUAAUUAACCUUGCUGGAGGGUUUUUUUUUUUUCGUACAUCGAUAUUUUUAUACUAAGAGGAGGGGGAGUUCGGCUAACCUACACAAUAGGCAACCUAAUUUGGUAAGAUCUCUCAUUUUCAAAUGAAGAUGAAAACUACCAGACCGUAAUACUGAGUGAUCACCGGAGAGUUUUAAUAAAGAAUAAAAGUAGCUUUGUGAAGUUGAAAUUCUGUUUUAGUUUAAUAAAGAAUAAAUUAUCUUGAAAUGCUCAUUUUACAACUCAAAAGCCAAUUUUGGAGUUCGGUGGGUCAGAAAUUUGUGAUGCAAAUCAUCUAACCCACUGAAAAAUGUAAAAACAGGUAGAUUACAUUUUUUUUUUCUCCUCAAGUUCUCGUCCAAUUUCAAAUUUGUAUGUUUUUCAAUUUUUUCAAUUUCAUACGACGAUUCACGAUUUUGUAUAAAUGUCUUAGAUCUGUAUUAAUUUAUGUUAGUUUCUCUGUUAUUUGUCCAUGUGAACGUCGUCGGCCGGCCCCACAAAAUUUGUGCCAAAUGAAUAAAAACCAAUUAAAAAAUGGAUAUUCAUUAUUAAAGAAAAUCAAUUUAAAGAAAACCUUCUUCUUUGACAACAAAUCAAUAUGAAGAAGAAACCCUUCAUCUUCUUCAUCUGAAAGUUAAAAAAUCAAAGUACAAAUUAAUGUAUAAACAUUAUUUGAACCUUUAACGUGUGAUGUUGAGUGUUGUAUAUCACCAAAAAGUUAAAAGAUCUUGCAUUAGCUUUGUAGAAGUUAUUGUAGAACCUCAAGAGUAUAUAUAGUCCACCUAUUAUCAAUUGGACUUUAGGAGAGAUUUUUUUGUGUCAGGAACAUGGCCUAGUACACCAUGUAAUAAUACAAUUGGUUGGACACUUAAAUAUUUUUUUUAACUAAUUGUAUUAUGACACUUGGGUAUACCAGGUAGUGUUCUCGAAACAUUGAAAAUUUUUCUCGGACUUUGGGUAGAAUCUCCUAAAAUGAUACAUACUCCAGCAAAAGUUAACAUCCUGAUCAUAUCACGAUGAACACCUAAUUAAGCAAAACAAUCACUCUCCCAAUAAGCACUUCAUUGCGACUACAUAGGUUUACAACGAAGCAGCACACGAUUAUUUCACCAGUGAGAGGUUGCAGCAUGCACGUAGUUUCGUUGCAUGUUAGAAAAGGUUCACAGCAUAUCAACUUCACAUUGUCCUGCAGCAUAUCAGAAAUCAAGCGGAUUUCAACAUUUUCUUCCUGAAAAAUCGAAAGAAUAAGAUCGACAUCAUGUUACUAUGAACACAUGAUAGAUCUUUUCUUGGUACAGAGAUAUUUGAUUUUCAGAGAAAAAUAUAAGACUUACCUGUAACCUUGAAACGAGCAUUUCCAAAAACAGCCUCCCAACCAGUUUCUGUACCAUAUGUUAAACUGGGUCCUCAAGCACAACUUUAGCUAUAUUAACCAUAUGUUAAACUACUGCUUUCCAUUAUCGAGACAGGAGUCUAUCAAAGCUAGAGGUUUUUCUUCACUAUUCGACUCGGUAGAUUCCAAGGAAAUGGGCACAAGUUUAACGGUAGACAGAAACCGGUUCUGAUCAUCCAUACGAAUGGUGCAAAAUCUCGAUAUAGCAUGGUUUGCAUAAAGAAAUCUUGUAUCAAAAUUAUACUUCGAUGGCUUCACAUUUAAAUUUUUCUUGAACUGGGGAGCAAGCAGCUCCAGUGUUGGUAACGGGCCUCCCCUUUUCUGUUAACUGCCGCUUGUGCGGUGGGACGUAAGCCAUUUUAAAACCAGAACUUGUGCUUAAAAUUCGUAGCAAGGCAAAAAGAAACUGCAAAAAUUUCAUUAACUAUCUUGGUUGUAAGAAAGUGCCUGAGCCGAAGCAUUUACUGGCAAUGAAGUCAUCGAAAUGAAAUCGCCAAAAGUUCAUUAACCAUGAAUUAUGCCAGAUACAAAUAGAUGGCAGAAUUGAAAGAAAUCAUUAAAACAGUUACUAAUUAUCCAUCAAACGAUGCCAAAAUUUGAACAUAAAACUAAGGAGGUAGACAGAUAUAUACACGUCAAAUAGACAGUGAUCACUGAUUUACAACAACAAGCAAUUUCAUGUUAAAAAACAUUCACAGCUCAAGAAGUUAUCCCAUAUCAACUGCAUAUUGAUCGGAAGGAUGAAGGCGGGUCUAGUUGUAAUGGAGUUAUUUGCUGAUAAAACCCCAAAAACUGCUGAAAAUUUCCGUGCUCUUUGCACCGGAGAUAAGGGGAUUGGAUUAUCAGAGAAGCCACUGCACUUUAAGGGAUCCACAUUUCAUCGCAUUAUCCCAAACUUCAUGUGCCAGGGUGGAGAUUUCACAAGAGGCAACGGAACUGGAGGAGAGUCGAUUUAUGGGGCGAAAUUCGCAGAUGAGAACUUCAACUUGAAGCAUACUGGCCCUGGAAUUUUGUCCAUGGCGAAUUCUGGACCUAAUACGAAGGGUUCACAGUUCUUCAUUUGCACCGUGAGCACACCUUGGCUUGACGGAAAGCACGUUGUGUUUGGAAAAGUUGUCGAUGGAUACAGUGUUGUUGAGAAGAUGGAAAAGGUGAGUUCGGAGCGUGGGACUACUUCUGAACCUGUUGUGAUCGAAGAUUGCGGUCAGAUAAAAGAUGAGUGUUGAUGUUUGAAUAGUUGGUGAAGUUUCAAGUAACAUCAUAGCUUAGGGUUGCUUUUAGUACUAGUUAGUUUCAAGUUUGAAGCAAAAAUUGUGUUUUGUAUGAAGAAAAGUGAUGUAAUGCAAAUAAUACUUUGAAUGCAUGUAUAUUUUCUUAAAUGCUUCGAAUGUGUAUAAUUGCGGUUAUUUAUCUUCUUAUUGUGUGUGGUGACUCGGAGCAUCUUAACGACUUAAAAACAGAGAGUAUGAUUGGAGAUGAUCUAAGACUAUAAUGUGAUUACGAAGAAAUAGUGAAAUUUUGGGUUCUUUCAUUGUAAUGAGAUCGGAUUAACUAACGGAACUAUGUCAAAGUCCAUUUCAAAUUGUGCUAAACAGGCCUUGAGGAGGCAUUUUGUAAGAAUGAAACCAAACCAUAAAACCAAUUUGCAAUAUGUGAAGUAGCUCAACCUCUUAUAACCAUUGUAAGUUUCAUCAUUUAACUGAUGUGAGACUCUUUUACCUUCACAUUCCCUCUCAUGCGUGGUGAAUUUUCAAGCCAAAUAUGUGGACAACACGAAUCAAGUGACGUGGAGCACGUGUGGCCAUUAGGCUUCAUACAUAGGCCAACCUAGCUCUCUAAUACCAUGAAAAAGUUGAGGUUUCACCAUAAAAACAAUUGGCAAUAUGAGGAAUAGCCAUACCUGUUAUAAGCUCAACCAAUUGGCAAUAUGGGAAGUAACUCAACCUCUUAUAAACUCUUGCAAGGUUUAUCUUUUGACGAUGUGAGACUCUUUUACCUUCACAUCCUCACAGUGAGAAUAUGAGGAAGUCCCACAUCGAUGAAUGCAUGGGCUUAUAAGGAGUUUGGCUACUUCCCAAAUUUUCUUCAUGGUACCCUAGUAGGUUUAUCCCAGAUGUGAAGCUCAAUAACCAUAUGUUCCACGUUACCCAAUUUGUGCACAUGAGAGGGCGUGUGAGAAUAUGAGAACAAAAUUCCACAUAUGUGAAGGACCAAACCAUGCAAGGGCUUAUAAAGAGUUGAGUUACUUCCAAUAUCGCUAAUUGGUUUGCUAAUUGGUUUUGUAGUAGAACCCUACUUCGUUCAGUGGCCAUCGAAGACCAUAACAAGAACCAGAGACUGUCUGCCGAGCCCGAGGGUGGUGAGAAACGUGAAGGGGUAUAGGUAGUUCACAUGUUUUAUGCACAUUUUGUACGUACUCAAAACUUUUAGAAAGGAAAAAGAAGAAGCUCCAAGAUCUGCCGAUAGCCUUUAUACAAGCAAAUGUGUAAUUUAGCUACAUUUAGGUGAUGGGUUUUGUCAAUUGCUUCCAGAUUUGAAGGUUGUCAUGUUUUCACAACAUUGCAUAUAAAAAGGGGGGAGGUUGAAGUUGAAUACCCAAGAUAUCACACACUCCCAUUACUUGAAAGUACAAUGGGAGCUGCUGGUGAGAUUUGUUAGCUACAUUAUUAUAGUUCAGAGAAGCAAUUUCCGCACAUGUCUGUUCUCUCUUUGUACACCUUGUUUAUAUAGGAACGGAAAAUAACAAAGGCGUGCAAAGGGGGAAAAAGAGUGCAUAAAUCACUUAUUUUUUUAAUUGUUGCUAAUUAUAUUUCAGAAGUGAAUCUGAUUACAUUGCUUCCAUGGUGAUCAUGAUCAGAUGGUCGAAAGUUUACCACUAUCCUUAGCAUUGAUGGAGGAGGAGUGAGAGGCAUCAUUCCGGCAACCAUGCUCGCCUUUCUCGAGUCCAAACUCCAGGUUAGCGUGACUGUGUCCGCCAUACUUCUUUUUCGUUUCUUCGGAACCUCGAAUUUGUUCUUCAUUCUCACAUAAUUGAUUGAUUUACAAAACGUUUCCUAAAUGAAUAGAAACUGGAUGGGAAAGAUGCGAGGAUUGCAGACUACUUUGACUACAUUGCUGGAACCAGCACAGGAGGCCUUGUUACUGCUAUGAUUACCACACCAAAUGAAAAAAAGCAACCUCUGUUUGAAGCACAUGAACUCAAGAAGUUUUAUUUUGAUGAGAGUCCAUACAUAUUCCCUCAAGAACCGACCAAAACCGCUCGAAUGUACGUUCCAUAAGGCGAGACUAUUUUGAAGUGCUAAUAACAAUCUCACUGUAUAUAUCUUAUGAAUUGAACUGUUGGAUUGGUCCUUGCAGCAUACCUGAGUGGCUUGAAACAUGGGCUGGAUGGGUCGGACAGAAGGUUGAAAAGGUGGCGGAAAUCCUGUCAUGGGUCGAGAAAGAAACGUUACACCCCAAAUACGAAGGUUAUGACCUGCGCGACAGAAUCAGGAAGAUAGUUGGGAAAACACGGCUUCACGAGACUAUAACCAACGUCAUCAUCCCCUCUUAUGAUAUCAAGUUUCUCCAACCAGUCGUCUUCUCCACCUCAGAGGCGAAACGUGAUGAAUUGGAGGAUGUUCUGCUAGCAGAUGUCUGCAUUGGCACAACUGCAGCACCAUACUAUCUCCCUUCCCACCAUUUCACGCACACACCAUCAAAGGGACUCCCGAGAGAAUUUAACCUCAUCGAUGGUGGCGUUGCAGCCAACAAUCCGGUACAUAUACACUCUUAGACGUUCAUUAAUUGAAGAUUUUGAUCAAACUGAUUCGUGUAAAAAUUGUUGCAGACUUUGCUUGCAAUCAUUGAGAGUGCUAAGGAGAUGUCACCAAAUAAAAAUGUGGCACAUUGCUUGAAGAACAUUGAUAGUAGCAAGCUUCUUGUUCUGUCCCUGGGAACUGGAUCCUCGAAGAGGGAUGAGAAGCUUGAGGUUGACGAAAAUGAACCAUGGGGAAUCUUUCAAUGGUUUGUAGGCCCAAAAGAUACCACCCCUUUACUUGAUGUUUUGACAACUGCAACAGAAGACAUGGUUGACAUAUACAUGUCUGCUUUCUUCAACGUUUCAGGCUACAAUGAUAACUAUCUCCGGAUCCAGGUACAUAGUAAACCACCAAAGAAUGAAGAAAGAUACCUUACUUCCGGCUGAUUAUUUAAUGCCAUGGAUGCAGGAUGAUAGCUUGAAAUACACUGAAGCUGUUCUGGAUGACUCCCGCAAAGAAAAUCUCGAGCACCUUGAGAAGAUUGGGAAUCAACUCCUCGAAAAACCUUUUUCAGCACUGAACCUGGAGACCGGCUUGUUGGAACCAAUUAACAACACAUUCAAAUACAAAGACGCACUUGCACAGUAAGAAAUAAGAACACUAUAAGCUGAUCAUAUGAUCAAGUCACUUUUUUCAUCAUAUCUGUUUUGUGAUUUACAAUUUUCAUCUGUUUCUUCAGUAACUUGUUGCAUUUGUACAGGUUUGCCAAGAAACUGUCGGAUGAAAAAAGAGGACGUCAAACCAGUUCCUCCCGUUGAUAAAAUUUCAUCUUUCUUGUGCCUAGUAUCUAGCUUCUACUAUCUACCUAUGUGCUUGCUGAACAAGUUUGGUUUCCAAGUUUCUAGUGUCCUUGCAAGCCUGCUCGAUCGUAGACUGUGUGUAGUGCAGGUUUUCGUUUCAAACUUUUAGUGGGUUGUACUUCCAUAAAGUAUAUAUAAAUAAAAUGAGGCUCAUCUCAUCUCAUGGCUGUUUGUUCCCAAGAGAUUACUGUUCUGUUUUGUUAUUGAAACGGAAUGAGCUCAUUACGAUACACAGAAUGAACACACAUUACAAAAGAUAACAUAUCUAGUGAAGUCGAAAAUCGUUUAAUAUUCAGAACAUAAGAUAAACAUACAAAAAACAGUUCAAAACCUCCUAAGAGAGUAAUUCUGAAACAAUGACGACUAAUCUGGUUAAACCUUACCGAAAAUCCUUAUAUGAGUUGUAUGAAUCUCCUUUGUAACAAGAGUGAUAUACAAGGACCAUACUCUUACACUUCUACUCCCAAUCCUCUUCGCUCAAUUGAUCGUCUGCCUCGUCUCUUGGUGGCCUCACUAUCAGCACCACAGUCCCUAAACUCUCCUCCACACCAGUUUCCUUCAAUGCCGAUCCCCUUACAACCUUAAACCCCAAACCCUCACCAUCCACUGCUGCCAAAUAAAACCCGUCAUCAGCUUCCACCUCCCUCCUGCUCCUAUCAGCCACCACCAGAAUAGGCUCUUCCUUAUACCACCUAUUCACCUUCCAAGGCAAAACCCUCGCGUCACCAAACGACACCACAACUCCGCCCUUUCCUAAACUCACCACCGGCUCCCAACCCGGCAACACCACCCACCUCUUCCACCCCUUCUCUGCCACAAUAACCCCAAGCUCCCCCUCACUCCUACACUCCCACGGGGCCUCCAUAACCUCCUUAUCCUUCUCCUCCGCCCUACAAACUGGCAAGAUCACAACUUUAGUCGACUCUGCCACCUCCCCAAACUUCAACCUCACAACCGGAACCCGAACCCCUACUGCAACAUCGUCCUCCUCCUCCUUCUCCUCACUCUCUCCCUCCAACUCUUUCAAAAUUACCUUUUUAGCCUUAUCGGUCUGUGCAACCUUCAAUGCCUGCUCUAAAGCAGCAGUUCUAGGUUCAGAUGGAUUCUUGUGCUCCCUCGCCUGCCUAAAAUACAUAAACCCUAAACAAUCCCCAGCGCUGGCAUAGUCAAAGCUCUCCCAACCGUUUUCGGUCCCCCGACGAGGGAAGUCCUUUAUCGAACGGGCCAAAUCCUGAGUUCCUUUGGCAUCAAGCUUGUUCUCAAUUAUGAAACGGGCAGCAGCAGCUCGCUGCUGGACACUCAGGAGCCGAAUUUCGUACAGCAAUUCGGAACCCCUCACGUCGAAUUCGGAAACGAUUUCUGGGUCGGUGUUAGAUUGGAUUAAAGAGUCCCUCACCUUCGCCGCCACCACCAGGCGGUUCUGCUCGACGCUGGAAAUGCCGGUGAUUUCUUCGAUGGUGGGGGCAGUGAAGCCUUCUUGGGUUAGGGAGGGGAUUAGGGGGGCGAAUUCGAACCAGAGGCCGAGGCGGUUGGCGAGGAUCUCGAGGCGGCCAUUGGCGUCGAGGGAGCGGAAUUUGGAGGGGAUUGGAGAUGGGGGCGGCCGGAAUGGCUGGUAGAGUUGUUGUUGCUGCUGUUGGGAGCUGGAGGAGGGAGUGAGAGUGGCGGAGAUGGGUUUCGGGGAAAGAGGUUUGGUGUGGUGUAGGGGUGGUGGGUGGGGGUUGAGGAAGGUGGUGGAGGAUAAGAAGGUUGUGGUAGUGGUGGGGUUGAAAGAUGAGAAGGGUUUGAGAGAGUUUGCUGUUACCGAAAGCAUGGUGGUGGUGGUGGUGGUGGUGGUGGUGGUGGUGGUGGGUUUUUGGAAAUUUGCAAACUUUGGAGGGAGGGAGGAGGUUUGUCCCUUAUCUCACCAGUGAUGCUGCUUCCGGAUGAGAGAGAGAGAGAGGAGAGGAGAGGAGAGAGGAGAGGAGAGAGAGAGUUUUUCACUUUCAGACUUCAGUUAUUCAGUUGAAGUUUUAUUGGGCUGGUCCAACAAGGACCAUCAUCAUUGGCCCAAAUUAACCCAUGCCCACUUCAGGGUCAGGGACAAUCUAAACCAAAAAUGAUCAACCAUGAAUACUGCCCAGCCUACUGAACAAAUCGGCCCAAUUCAACAACACCUUGCCCUUGCCUUUUUUUUUUGUAUUUUAAUCAGGUAAUGUUAUUGGCGCUUUACAAAUUUCAUUUUGCACUCUAAAAUUUAUAUAAUUAGAAAUAAAAAUACAAUUGUGAGAAGUGCAGAAUAAAAUUUUUAGAGUACUAAUAACAAUUCCCUUUAAUUAUUCAGUAUAAUUCACUAACUCUUGCGGACUCCCAAACCACCAGGACGUCUGACUAAGACCCACGAUGCGGGAUUACGAAGGGAUGUUGCGUUUUUGUUUUUUGUAGUUCUUGGCAUAGUCGCAUGUAUCUUCUCUGUUUACUUUUGUUUAUUAUCAAUAAAUUUGGUAGAAGAUCUGUACGGGUGGGUUGCCCCUCGCUGUUGCGUUCUAUUAGGUUAUGGAUUACAAGAACAAAUGUAGUUGUAUGAGACAUCGCGGUUAGAUGGGCGGGAGAUUUUUGGUUGUAGUGGUCCUCACCCUUCGGAAAAGCAUAAGUGCCUUGCACGUGGAUAUUGACAAAGAACUAAUAUCGCCUAAUUUUCAAAUACUUCUAGAGUUUCAAUCGAAGUUUGGUUGACCAACCUUCUUUUCAAUCACACACACAAUGAUAAUUAGUUCAAAGUAAUUAGCGAGUGAUUAUAUAAUAUAAUAGCCUGACCAGCUUUUGAAACACACAAAACAACUGCACCACCAAUCUUAGUUGCUAAUCUUGUAUUAAUUUAUUAUUAAGCAUGGGGACAUUUAUAUCUUAGUUAUAAUUCAGUCAAAUAAAAAUAUUAUAUGACUGAAUCAAACUUAAAACGCAACAUGUGAAACCAUAAUUAUUCGUCCUCAACAACUAGGUUAUCUCGUAAUUCUUUAUUUAUUUUUCUUUUGGAUGUUUGUUUUAUUUUGUAAGAUUUAAGGAUCACUUGAAUCUUCUUCUUUCAUUGAAAGUGACAAUGGGCUGGUUUCAUACAAUGCACCACAUGGCCUAUGUCUACGUGACGUUUUAAGCUGUAGUAUUGCCAAUUUAACAGACAACAAUGAUUUACAGCUGGAUAUUUAAAUAUUGUUUUAUUGUUUUUCAGUGGAAAUUCAUGUCUGGUUUGAUGUAGAUAUUUAUAUAUUUGUGCGUAUUUUUUGAAACAUAUUUGUGUGUAUAUACACAUACAUAGCUAUGGUUAUAUUGAAAAGAUUUGAAUUCUGAACUUACUUUACUUUUGUUCGUCAUCCUUUUCAAGUCUUUAAUUAAGAAGCUAACCCGUGGUGGCGUAUGUUCUUAAAGAGGGAGGCUUCAAGUGGAAUUAUCCUCUUUUUCUGUUUAAUACUUUAGCUGAGGAUGUAAACAUUUCAAUUAGAAUUUAAUAUUAUUUAUCUCUUUAAUACAAAAAAAAAAAAAAAACUACGAAGCUAAACCUAGCGACGUAUACAGCCAUACAAUAAAUGUCUUGUUCUCUACGUGUUAUGAAAUUAAACAUACAAUUAAGUAUGGCUAUUCCUAAGUAAAGAUAUUAGGGGACGUUUGUUGCGCUGGACUAUCUCGGACUGGACUAGCUUCAAGGACUAAGUUGGACUGGCUUAGACUAGACUAAGCUGGACUAACUUAGUGAAGCGUUUGGUGCAGUGUUGGACUAAGAAGCUGGAUAAUAACAAAUUCUAAUAUUAUAUUAUUUAAUAUAUAAAUUAUUAAUAUUUUAUUAUGAUCUAGGUGACCGGAGAUGACGAGGAGUCUAUCGAGAGUGGUUGUUGAGCAUGACGAGGACGAGAGAGGAUAGUCUUAGCUACUCCCAUGGUUAUUGGGGGGUCUCGCUAAGACCACUUAGUGAAGGGUUUUGUCCAUGCUAGUUCCCUUUAGUCUCAUUAAUGUUAGUCCCAGCAUGGAACAAACACAGUAUUGGACUAACAGCUAGUCCAGUCCAGUCUAAUCCCACUUAAUGAGGGCAAACAAACGCCCCCUUAUAUCUUUGAAAUGGUGUAUGAAAAUGCAACCACAUGCACGAGGGCUAAUCAAAAGGUAAAUUAUGGAUAAUGCUUGGUCAAAAAGGCUGUGUUAAGAACAAGAGGGACACGCAUUACAACACUCAAAUAUUAAUUAGAAUUUUUAAUCUCUUUAUGAUCUCUUAAGAUUAAUGAAAGAUAACCAGAAAAAGUAACACCAUUGAAAUCUUAUAGGUGAAACAAGAGAAAUGCAUGCAUAUAACGACAUUAGCUUUAAAUUUGUGAUCAAACGUUUUUCCAGAUUGUUUGGUGAAGCAUGCAAAUUAUAGCAUCCUCUUUAAUAUCUUCCUAAUCUUUUAUUUUAUUUAUACAAAAAUGCAAAAGCAUACUUUGGUUUUUGCAAAGAUAAAAGUAACAUGCAAGCAAUCCGGUUGUAUUUCAAAUAGUAAUUAUGAGCUGUUAAACGUGCACCCUAAUCUCUCUAUUCAAUUCUUCAUCUCCUAAUACUUGUAUAUACAACAUGUACAUUAUUUGUAACAAUUUCUGUACGCAUAUAUCACAAAAGAAAAACAUAUACAACUUGUGUAUAACAAUUAAGAUGACAUCAUAAAGUUGUGGGCAAGGAAUAUAUGUGAUGUUAACUAGACAUAGCUUAUUCCCACGUGGGAAAUGUACCUAUUGACAUCAUGAAAUAAUAGACGGCCUUUUAACGGGUCGUCCUCUGAAAACCCAUAUAUCUGCCCUUCCCAACGAUGCACUGAGGUCUCUCGACCACAAAAACACAGAACUUGUCAACAAAAAUGGAUAGAACUUGGUUGCUGAAAGAAUCAGUAGCACGUCCUACUGAUCACCAAUCACAGCUGGACACAUGUCUAAGUUGGAUUAAAAAAUUCACAACUUAGACACGUGUCCAACCGUGAUUGGUUAUCAGCAAAGGGUGCUACUAAAUCUUCAACAACCAAGUCCCGUUCAACAAAAAUAAAUAAAAUAUGGCAGUUUCUGAACCCAAUAAUUUGAACGGUACAAAACUUGAAGGCAGCAGUAUGCCUAGUUGAAUGAUUUAUACAGGUUCAUGCACUUUCUAAAUCCCAAUAGAGCUCAAGUGGCCAUAGGCAAUUUUGUUUUCCUGUGGCUGUAUAUACUUUUCCUAUUCAUUUUCCAUUGUUUCUCUAUUUUUUCUGGUCCAUCUUAUUUUUCUGUUUUAAAGGAAACAAAACUCGAGUUACAUCGAAUAUUAUCGGCAUUAAUGCUUUGAAAGUUCCAACAUGUUGAAUUGGUAGUGACAAAUGAGUAUGUAUUGUAGUGGUUCUUGGUUUCUUGUCGAAAAUUAGGUGGCCCAUACAUGCGGAAGAACAAAAGCCCAGGAUGAUCCCUAUUUCCCACUCAACAACCAGCUCAUUCAUUCUAGCGGCUUCCCCAAGCCAACCCGUACAACGAUUUACUUUCGUAUGGCUGUCGUAUAUUUGCUCUCUUAAUAUUCUCAUUUAGAGGAAAUGUGAGGACUAAUUGCAUAAUAGCCACAAAUUAUAUUAGUUUAGAUUCAAAAGUUUAAAAUAUCUAAUAACUUAACAAAGCAAAACUAACUUAAAAUUCAUGAAGCAUUAGAAAACUCUUCUUUUUUUCUUUUUUUUUUCUUUGUUAAGUUGUCAAAUAUUUUAAGCAUUUGGAUCUAAACUAAUAUUUUUGACUAAUAUGCAUUUAGUCCUCAGAGGUCCUCUAAAUAAGGACCUUAGAGACCCUAAAUGGAGUUCCUACAACCAUAUAGUCCCUAAAUAUAGGGACAAAUGACUUCCAAGCCUAAAUUGAAGUCUUCAAAGUAUUUCAAUACAUAAGGACUCGCCGGGUACUCAACAAAAUUCUCAAAUAUAAGGACUACAUAUAGAGACUCAAAUAGUGGACUUUAUAUUAAUUUUGAGUGGAAAUUAUGCUGCUCUUUAUGUUUUUUUUCUUGUUUUUUGAAACAACCCAAGUGGGGCAACUUCUCAUUUGUCUUUUUCUUUUAAUUCUUGAAAAAUCAAUGGUAGAAUACUCCAAUGAAAUGAAUAAUAAUUUUGUAAUAUUUUAGUCCCUACAUUUAGGGAUUAUACUAUAAGAAAUUUUCAUUGUAGACAAUAUUCUUUUAGGGACUCGAAUAUUCCUCAAAAGCUCCUAAAUAAGUCCUUAAAGAUGGUAUGGAAGUCCAGGGACUCGUAUUGGAGAUGCUCUUAGUAGAUCAGGACAGGCUGCCGUAAGGUAAUUAAGGAGAGCUCUCUCUCUUGUUUUGUUAGAAAGAUUCUUGACCGAUCUUAUUACCAUAGAAAUCAAAUAAUAAUUGAGAAGUUAUUUCUAUAGAAAAAUUAUAAAACUAAAUACAAGGCUGAUUGUAAUUAUGUGGUAAAUUGCAAGUGAAUUAUUAUUGACACUUUAAAAUUUUCAUUUUACACUUCAAACUUUUUAUUAUUAGAAAAUAAAAUACACUUGUAAAGAGUGUAAAAUAAGAUUUUUUGAAAUACUAAUAACAGUUUCUAUUAGCAAAACUAUCAACUACUAUAUUAACUUUUGGAUAAAUAUGAGUGGUCAUAUAAUUGGGAAUUUGCUGCGUAAAUACCAAUAUCUUUGAUGAGAGAAAAAAUUUGUAUGAAUGUAGGCAUCUUGUGUCAUGUCUAGGUUGUGCAAUCUAGGAGGUGUGACACGGAGAUAUGCAAAAUUUUCAUAUAUGCUUCUUAUAACCCUCCUCCAAUGAGUAUUUCAAGGUCAAUUUAUUCAUUCUAAUUCAUUCAUCACCUAGCUAUUAGGGUUACUGAUAUUUCUUUUUUGAAAAUGUUUUAAAUUCGAAUAUCGUCUUUUUAGCUAGUGAUCAAAGAAAUAAACUGCAUAACAGCUACCCUAUUGGCGUCAACUUAUUCAAUAAUUAAGAAGAGUUUAUAAACCUAAUUAAUCAGAAAAUGUGGUUUAAUGUAUGGUUUUGGCUUGGGUUGAUGUUCUUUUAGAUGAUCGUUUCCUUCUAAUCACUUUGAGCGAAAAGCAGGUAUGUCGACUGUUGGGCCAAAUUAAUGACAAUCGUGGAUAUAGUCUGGCUUGCCUAACGACUUAUUUCACAUACAUACCCUCUUGUCCAAGUUGUACGGAAUCAAGUUGACCAUCCCGUUUUAAUUUUAGCUAGGGUUACCAGAUGGAGUUAAGUAUGUGACAAGGACAUGCAACACAACAUAGUCCAUGUUAGAUCCGGCGAUGCAAACAUAUAACUUGCAAGUGGAGGCCUUAACCCCAAAAGUAACAUCGCACAAUGAAAUCAUCGGGCAGACGUCAAAAAAAUUCUUUUAACUGCUGCAGCCGCCAUGUCCAUCGUCCUCUCUGAGUUUCUUUGACUCACGUGGGAUCAACCCCUUCCUCCCUUGGUCUCCAUUCACGACCGCUUAGAUGUUAUUCAAAUAAUUCAUCUCUCUUUCUAUCCUUUUCACCAUUAUUUUUAUUUAUUUUUAUAUAUUUUAAAACAUGGAUCCUAAUGGGACCUUAAUUCCCUUCUCUCCCUAUAUAAAGUCCUAUGCGUUCAAUUUUUUUUUUAACCCCAAAACAGACAUCACUCACUGAAAUAUCCAGUCCAAUACUUGUUCAAAGUAUAGAGCUAGAAGAAGAAACUCUGCAAAUUGUUAUUUCUUCCCUGAGUAAGAUGGACUCUUCGUUCUUCCAAAACCCUAAUUCUGAAUUCUCGUUCGAAUCUUCUUCUUCCUUCAACUCUCGAGAAUAUUCUCACGAUGGUCAUCUCUCAUGGAACGUGUUCAACUCUAAUGAUCAUCACAACCAAUCAGCCUUUCCCCAACUACCCUUUAAUGAGAACGACUCAGAAGAAAUGCUUCUAUAUGGAGUUCUUGCUGAGGCGCCUGCAGGAGAUGGGAACUCAUCGGGUUCAAUAGUAUCAUCCACUCACUCCAAAGACCAAGAAGAAGUGAAUUCUUCUAGUGCCACUGCUGACGAAGAUCAAGUGGUUGCUUAUAGAGGUGUUCGGCGGCGGCCGUGGGGAAAGUUUGCUGCAGAGAUAAGAGAUUCGACGCGAAACGGUGUUAGGGUUUGGUUGGGAACUUUUGACACGGCGGAGGCUGCUGCUUUGGCUUAUGACCAAGCAGCAUUUGCAAUGCGGGGGUCUUUGGCGGUUCUCAACUUUCCGGCGGACGUGGUUUAUCAGUCGCUUGUGGAGAUGGAGUAUGGCUUUGAAGAUGGUGCGUCUCCGGUGUUGGCCUUGAAGAGAAGGCACUCCAUGAAGAGAAAGUCAUCGACGAACAAAAAUAAUAAAAUACUGUACCGUAAUCAGCAUCAAAAGAACGAUGAAGAAGAUGAUUAUCAGUUGGAAAAUGUUGUGGUGUUUGAGGAUUUAGGCGCAGACUAUUUGGAGGAGCUACUCAGUAUAUCUGAGAGCUAGCUGUACUCCCUGAUAGGAGCAUAUUUAUGCGACUUAGUUAACUUGUUCUUGUGCAUUUACGUUGUAUUUCCUUAGUUAUUUUAGUGUUCAAAGUUAUUUUUGUGUGUUUUCAGACUCUAAGUACAAAGUAUGCAAGAAGAUGCAUUUUGGAGGCCUUUGGAGCAUGUUUCGGGCUUGGAAUGGAUAGCAAAUGCAUGAGCCAAGUGGAUGGACGAAUUUGAGAACUAAAGAGGCCAAGAAUAUGAAGAAUUAUGGUCCAAAAGAUGAAGAAAACAGCCCAAAAAUCUGUCACCCCAACUUGCAUUCCUUGCCAUGCAAACCACAUAGAAUUCCCUUUGGAUUCCAUGCCAUGCUUGAUCACUCUUGUCCCCUACAUAAUUUCUAAUUUCAUGCUUUAAUUCAUUUAAUUAUUACACUCAAUUGCUUGAUACCUCUUGUUCCCUUCACUCAUUAGAUUUUAGACAACAUUUACAUCCAUUACAUGCACCAAUUGAUGCUCCAUCAUUCACAUUUGGAAUCCAAUGCCAUGUGCAACACAUGUUGUUGCACCUUUAACCCAUUUGUUGACACAUUUCACCUCCCUUUCCAUCUCUAUGCAAUGUACACAAUCAUUCAUGCUCCCUAACUACAACACCACUCCAUUUUACCCUUCACACUUUGCAUCAUUACUUCAUUUUCACCUUUGGACCAUUGCACACCACACAAACAAAUUGCCAUGCAUUUCAUCCUUAACCUAACCUGAUUUUCUAAGGUUUUUGGGGCCUAUAAAUACAUGUUUACACCCCUUGGCCAAAGGACAAUCCCCCAUAUUCAUCAUUUUAUCACAAAAAUUCGUCCAUACACACCCUAGGAAGCAAACACCUCAAAAACACCAUUCUAGUGCCUAGAAAACAUAACAGCCACUCCACCUUCUUCCACCCUCUUUGCCUAGUUCUCCACCACCCUCCAACCAUCAAACACUCCUCCACACUCACCCUAAACCCUUCCAUACCAUUCCCCAUCCAUUCUACAUCAUAAAACUACCCAAAAUCUGUCCAUAACCCAAUCUGCCGCAAGCAAGGGAAAGGAGGAAUCUUGGAUGCACUUGCUACCAAGUUGGAGCAUUUUAGGUGUUUUCUUUCCUUUGAUUUUAAUGUCUAAUUUUAUGUAUCUUUGCUUUGUGAGUAUGAGGAACUAAACCCCUCUUAGUUAGGGGGUGAUUCGAAACUAUGUUCAUACUUGCAAUAUGAUUUGAUUACAUCCAGUUGUGAUUCAUAAGUUGUGAAUUCAAUUUACUUAUCCGAUCGUAUAAAAAAUGAUUUGUGUAUGUUGUUUGAGAGUGCACGCUUAAUUUUCAUGCAUGAAUUUAACGCUAGAAUAUAAGGGAGUUUCACCUAAUCGUUAUGAACUUAUAUUCCCAAGUAGUGAAGGUUGCUAGUCACAAUCACGUUAAGUAAAUUCUUGGCAUAAGUUUCAUGCAAAUCAUAGUAACGAGUGCCUCGUCAAUGCUUAUGUUUUUCAUAGAACUUAAUGAUUCUUGCUUGUAUCUCUAUUAUGCAAUUCAUGUAGGGAACUUGUAGGGAAUGUUUUGGGUUGUCGUAUGCAAUCAUCCAAUCCAAUAACUUGUGGAAAAACUGAGGGUUAAUUAGUGCAAUUCACGGUUAAUUUUGGGGCGUUGAGUAUUCAUAGCUUAUCGAAAAGCAACUGGAAAUCGUUUUGUAUGCAAGUGUGGCAUGUGUGGAGAAGAACCUCCUAGCUAGCCUUCCAUCCAUAAGUUUCAUUCAAAUUCAUUUUACAAUCUGUUUUGAUUCACUUAAAUUUGUCUAAGAAUUUGUUUACUUUGUUCUUGUCUUAAUUUAAUUAUUUUCGUCCAAAAUCAACCCCAUCUUAUCUCUUUGAGUCAUAUUAAUUAGAACUUGUCUUAGAUUAUGUUUUUAAGUGUUUUAGUUCAUUAGAAAACCAAAAUUUGUCCAAGUUUGUGUUAGAGUCCCAAAACUGCCCAUAUUGUGUGUUUAAGGUAGUUUUGAGUGUUUAGGGGCUGUUUUGAGUCUUUUGGUUUGUUUUAGUGUUUUAAAGUAUAGUUUUGCAUUCUUUGAGUCUAGUUAGUGUUUUAAACUUUGUUUUUACGUUUUCAAGUCAGUUUCCAAGUGAUUUAGCAAUCCCUCAUAAUCCCCGGCCUAGAACGAUCCCUACUUACAUACUUUACUACAAUUGAUAAAAAGAGGGUUUAAUUUUGUGUGUUAACUUAUUUUUCACAUCACUCCCAUACCACGUUACUUGUGUUUUUGGUAUCCAACAGUCUGAAGCUAUACGUGGAGCGAGCUGUCGUUAAUCACAUAGGUCCAUCAUGUGUCAAGUGUUAACCACACCAUUUUUGGACCUUGUAUUUUUGUUUUCUAUUUUUGGGAACGUAUGUGGAGAAGAAUCAGAAGAUGACGGUCACUAUAGCUAAUUACUCCUUUCUUUAAUUAUACUUAUUCACUUUUUGUAAUUGCCUUGUUAAUUUUCAAGAUAAUGGAUGAGUAAAGUGUUUUUCCAUGAUCAAGAGUACUAGUGUACGUACAGUUGUUUGCUAUUUUAGUCUGUAAUAUUUGAUUAGAUUAACUUGGAACAAAGAAGAUAAGAUUUUGUUGGUGUUUGACCUUGAUUAUGACCGUUCGAACAGUUAAUAAUUAAUUAGUUUACAUUUGGAAACGGGUGCAAUCGCAACCAAAGAUUUACGUAUAGGUCACAAACUCAUUUUUUAACAAUGUUUGGUUACUCAAGGACGAGUAGAAACUCCUAUUAAAAAAAAUUAAUGUUUGAAUUACAUAGUUUUGUGCUUAUCAUUAGAACCAUUUAUAUUAUGAAUCACUUUGAAAAUAUCAUCUUUGCAAAAAAGAAUUAAACUAAGGUCGUUUAGUCAAUCUAUUGUCAUAAAUACAUAGACGGUUAGUAGGUGCUUUUACCAUUUUUGUUUAUCUGGUUUUAUACAAUUCGAUGACUAAACGAUCUUAGUUUUAAUUAAUUUUUUGCAUAUGCGAUCUUUAUAGAGUGAUUUAUAAUAUAAAUGGUUCUGAUCAUAAACAGGAAAAUCUAUAAAUUAGAAACGAAAAGUUUUGAGUAAAACUCCUACUCAUUCUUUAAGUAGCCAAGUGUUGUUCCCCAUUUUUAACCUCUUACACAUUCUUUGUUAAUUUCUGUCCCUUAAUCUUCUUCAAUUCAUUUGAUUCAGCAGCCGAAAAUUGAAAGAAGUGUGUAAGAGAAAAAAAAAGUGUGUUGAUAGCACCAUGUACCCUUGCUGCACAAAAAAGCAUGUACAUGUGAGUAACCUUGGUGCAUGAUUUUUUGUUUUUGUUUUAUAAAAUGCUCGUGCUUCAUGAUAUAUUGGUAUUGUUGGCUUUUGUAUUUUGUAGUAUUGAAUCUGUGACUAGAGAAGCCAAAACGAAUUAGCUAAUCUACAACAGUUUCAUUUUCUCUACCAUUCUCAUGUUAAGUGUCAAAAGAGAAGCCAAAUUUGCCAGAUCAUCCAGUGUCAACUUAAAUAACGAUAGUAUAUGGUCAAAACCUAGACGAGUACCAAGUUGACCAAGUUACUAAAUCGGAUGCAGUAUGCAUGAGAAACUUUUUAUCCUUUUUUAUGAAAUUGUGACAUUCACACGCCUCUUACUAUUUUUUACACACCUUUUAAAUUAUAAUUGUUAGAUAGAAUAAAUUAAAAAAAAAUCAAAUGACAAAAAUUAAUUAGAGGUGUGUGGGAAAUAAAAGUGGAUAUAGCACCACCCUUCUUAUUAAUAAAAAAAAACACUUUUAAUUCUUUGUUUGUACCAUACUUGACCAAUCUCGAAAUUACUGAGCACCGGUCAACGUUAUACUGUCAAAGACCCAGAAGAAUUACCCUCCAACCAGAAAGUCAAUCACAGCGCGACACGUGUCGACAUCAGAAACCAAUCACAACACGACACGUGUCAAUGUCAGAAUGAAACUAGAAACUCUCUUCUAUAAAUAGAUAUCAUUCUCUCACAAUAUUUCAUAAUAUCAUUUGUACUAAAUCAUUCACUAGUACUCACAAAAUGAGAGCUUGAACCUAUGUACUUGUGUAAACCCUUCACAAUUAAUGAUAACUCCUCUACUCCAUGGACAUAGCAAAUAUGGGUGAACCACAUACAUCUUGUUUGCUUCCGUGUCUCUAUCCAUUUACAUACUUAUCCAUACUAGUGAUCGGAGCAAUCUAGCGAAUGUCACAAACUUAACAAUUUCUGUUGCACCAAAGUCCUCGCUGAUUUUAUGCAUCAACAUUUGGCACCGCUCUCCAAAUCUCGAGAGCCAGACUCCCAACAGGAUUACGUGCUCAAAAAUCGAAGAGGCACCGCCCUCCGAAUCUCAAGAGCCAGACUCCCAACAAGAUUACUUUCUUAAAAAUCGAAGAGACACUGACUCUUGAAUCUCAAAAGUCAGACUCUCAACAGGAUUGCUUUCUCAAAAAUCGAAGAGGCACCGUUCUCUGAAUCUUGAGAGCCAGAUCCCCGACAGGAUUGCUUGUUCAAAAACCAAAAAGGCACCGCUCUCCGAACUUCGAGAGCCAAAUUUUCUUGGAUAAAGCUUGUCUGCAAUCUUCACACAUAACAUCAGCUUUCCAGAUACCACAUACCACUUUUUCAAAGUGCUCUGACAAAGUUAAAACACGUGAAGCUUGUAGCUCCCACUACAUUGCUAUGACCAAGAAGGGUAAAGGAAUAACACUACUACUUGUUGUUAGGGAGACUCCUAUAUAUGUCGACCUCCAUCCUCCACAGCCAGGCAGACCUGCAAAUAAAAAAAAUGCUCAACUUUUCUUCACAUCCGAGAGGGCACUCUCAGCAGAGUCUCUCGAAAUACUCAGCUUCUUUUCCUCACGAUAAUACCUUUGCAAACAAACCACACCAGAGUAAGUGUAUCUCAUAUCAUCAGGGUUAAAAGCAAGAGUAUCCCAUAUCAUGCUUUUUCCCUGUCUUUUCCUUUGGCUUUGUUCUUACCUGCAAGACAAGGAGAAAGAGAGCAAUCAGUCAACAUUUGGAAUCAAGCUUCCAGUCAGGAACUGAUUGUCUAGAACCCUUUGCCUGAUUACUUACCUGACAUUGCUCUCGAGUACUCAUCUUCAAUAUCUUAUGCUUCCAGAGAAGAUACCACAUCUGCCUGAGAAACAAAUAUGGCAAGUGAGAAGGAUACAAGUAAGCAUGUGGAGACAAGUGUAACAGAACACGUACCGAAACAUCCACUACUUUGUCAACAACAAAAGUAUCUCAUAUCAUCAGGGUCGAACGUACUCUAGAUUUGAUGGACUUGUUUUGACCCUCAAAUUCUUGAAUCAGCCUUAUACUCUGGAGGAAACCAGAAAACCCUCAAUCCCGGUUUAAGAAUAAGCCUGUGGAAAGUUACUUCUUCAAAAGCAAAAGUAUCUCAUAUCAUCUCUUCUUCAUUUGCUUCUCCUUAUCCUUGUUGCUGUUUACGACACAAUGAGAAUGAGAAUAAUCAACCGAAAGCCGAAGUCGAACAAUCAACCGGAAGCCGAAGUUAAACAAUCAACCGGAAGCCGAAGUCGAACCUCUAAUCCAGGUUUCUUGCUUGGAAGUCUGAUUGCUUACCUUGUCUAUUACCUCAUUCGGCAAAUCUCCUAGCUCGGCAACUUGGGGGACUCCUACUAUAGGGUUUGUAUCGCACUUGACCAAGCCCGAAACUACAAGUAAGCUUCAAGUGAAAUUGAUACAUUACCUUGUGCAUCUUCAUCGGUUAAAGAUACCACCUCUGGAUGGAGGAAAAGUACUUCCAGAGAAGAUGCCACAUCUACAUAUGAGACAGAUAAGAUAAGUGAAAAUGAUACCACACUUCGGUACUUAGAAGUUUCGUGAUUACUCAAUAGCUUGGAUCUUGCAAGUCCCCAACCGAGGAGCUUCCCUCACUCGGGAACUUAGGGGAGCACUGUUUGUACCAUACUUGACCAAUCUCGAAACUACUGAGCACCAGUCAAUGUUAUACCGUCAAGAACACAGAAGAGUUUCCCUUCAACCAGAAGGCCAAUCACAGCGCGACACGUGUCGACAUCAGAAGCCAAUCACAACACGACACGCGUCAAUGUCAAAAUGAAACUAGAAACUCUCUUCUAUAAAUAGAGAUCAUUCUCUCACAAUAUUUCCUAAUGUCAUUUGUACUAAAUCAUUCACUAGUACUCACAAAAUGAGAGCUUGAACCUAUGUACUUGUGUAAACCCUUCACAAUUAAUGAGAACUCCUCUACUCCGUGGACGUAGCUAAUCUGGGUGAACCAUGUACAUCUUGUGUUUGCUUCCCUGUCUCUAUCCAUUUACAUACUUAUCCACACUAGUGACCGGAGCAAUCUAGCGAAUGUCACAAACUUAACACUUUCUGUUGUACCAAAGUCCUCGCUGAUUUUGUACAUCAACAUUCUUCAUUCUCCUAAGUAUUAACACACGAGGUAGAAAUCGACUGGAUUUUAUUAGGGUUUGUUUGAAAAAACUUUUAAAAUUACUAAAAACGCUAUUGGAGAAUGUCUUUUGGCUCCAAAAGUGUUUGAAAUGCUUUCUGUAAGAAACAUCAAUUAUGUGUUUAUUGCAAGAACCACAUCAAGUGUUUUUUCAUGAUUCAGUUGUAUUUUUAUUAAUGAUUGGUUCCAAAAUAUUUUUACUAAAACGUUUUCAGUCAUUUAAAAACACUUUUAAACGAGACUUUUAUGUUUAGGAUGACUAUUAGUUGAUCUUUUUGUUUAUUUGACUUAAAAGUCAGAAACUUAAAAAUGGUAUGCAUGAUAGAAAAACGUACGUGGAAAUCCUUUUUCUAUGGCUAAAGCCAUAUUAACCAUGUGAUGUCGGAUCCAAUAGGAUCUCCUUCGGAUUCUUUUAGUGAGAAUUAUAGGAAUUUGUGAAUUAUGUCCGUUUAUUGUACAUCGUACGAUUAAUUUUUUUCAAGUACUUGUGUUUAAUUUUAAAUAAAAAUAUUUAAAAUAAUUUAUGACUGCAUGAUAUACGAUGAACAGAUACAAUUCAUUAAUUCUUAUAAUCUUCAUAAAAAGAAUCCGACGUGAAUCCGAUUCAUGUUAGAUACUCAAUUAACCUGGCGCCCCUUUGACCACUUCGAGGUGUUUGAUCUAUGAUGAAGAAAACAAUGACCUGCAGCAGCUUUUUCACUCGAGGGUCGAGGCAAGGCAAUGGCAGUAGGAAUGAGGAACCUCUUCGGAUCCUCAUAUUGUAUUUGUUUAUUAUACAUUAUGUAGUUAAUUUUUAUCAGAUACUUAUUGUGUUUAAUUUUAAAUAAAAAUAUUUAAAAUAAUUUAUGAUGGUACGAUAUACGAUGAACAAAUACAAUGUAAGAAUUUUUAAUAUUCUCACAAAGAAAAUCUGAAGAGAAUUUUCUUUCAUUUGUAAUUUGUAUUUGAGGUCAAAACCUUGUUAUAUUGUCGGCAAGCAACAAGUGGGAAAAGAAACUAAUGAAAUCAAGCAACACCAGCCAUGGCACUUCAGAGAGAUGUAGCAACCCUGCUUUUUAUUUUCCUGAUUUUUCUUAUUUAAAUCUCUUCGGAUUUGUAAAUUGUAAUUGGUGCUCGCUCCUCAUGCAGUUCUGCUUUCUUAUUAUGUUUCUCCUUCUUUUGACCUGGUUUCUUGGGCUUAUGUUAUCAUGUGCUAGAAUCUCUAUAGAUUCGUGUUAUCAUGUGUUACAAGAGAUUGUCUUGUAUGGAAUAGAUUUACCGAUAAUACAAGGUUAUCGUGAAGAAAGUCUUACGUAUGAUUUUGUAUUCCUAGUUAGGGACACUACAACUCAUUUUACAAGCGAGAAUUUUUUUAUUGUGACGGGAACACGGGUAGUACACUACAUGUUUUUAUAUAAGUAGUGAGAAAUUUUAUUUUUUUAAGUUAAUAAUUUUUUAACACAUAUAUCAUAUUAUUUUUAUAGUGACAUAUAAUGUACUAAAUGCCUGUCAUAUUGAAAAAUCUCUAGUUACAAGCAAGACAUUACGCUAAUUUUACUAUCUUGGGGUUGGGCACUCGGUUACGUGAUUGGCCUUUUUGGUUGGGCCUUGCAGUAUAAUAAAUAAAAUAUACAAAAAUAAGAGAAGGAACAUCAUUAGAGAAAUUUUUAGUUGUGACGGGAACACAAGUGGUACACCACGUAUUUUACUAGGAGUGAUGAAAUUUUUUAUUUUUUAAGUUAUUAACUUUUUAACACACAUAUCCCACCAUUUGCUUAGUGAAACGUGAUCUACUACUCCGUGUACUGGUUACACCGAAAAAUCUCUGCUCAGUAUACGUAAAGAGUCAAUCAGCGUUCUUUUAGAAAUAUCAAACACAAAAUUAACCUAACAAAUCAGAAACAUAGAUAACUGGCUAGCAUGGUGUAGAAGAAGUUGAGGGCAUGCGUCGUGGUGGUGGAGGAUGCGGCAAAAGCUUAACACUGGUUUUCUGAGGUGCAGCAGGGGAAACAAUAUGGCCCGGUCGGUCGUGUGUCAGGGAAGGCGGCGUUCUAGCUCCAGUUCUCCGGCCUAAUUUCACCUGUUGUCUAUUGUGACCAGCUGCAGAGAAACCACCAACUACAUUUUCAACUUCAAGCACCGUACUUGCAUCCUCUAUAUCUAUAUAUCUAUGUAUGUCUAUAUAUCUAAAAAGCCAGAAUUUCCGUUUGGCUAAAUUUUCAAUAAAUUCAGACUCCAUUCUCUUAAGGUUUGCAAACUCUUUAUUUAACAGUAAGCUAUAAGCAAUAUUACUUAAUUAAGUAAAUUAUAGCAAUGGUUAUUCAACUAAAAAUUCAUUACCAUUGUUCCCUCAACUCAUCAAAACGUGUAGCUAUAGUCAUUUUCGUCAACUCCGUCAAAAUUUUGUAAAAAUGAGUUAUGUUGGAAGGACCAGUUAAAGUUGAGAGAUCAUUGCUCUAAUUGGAUUAAAGUUAAGGGACCAUUUAUCCAGCUAAAUUAAAGUUGAGAGACCAUUGAUACAAUUUUUCCUAUUUGAUUUUCCAUAUUUGUUCCUUGAUUUAGUCUCACGUGCAUGACACAUAUGACGGAAGUUCUAACGGAGUUGACGAAAAUUUUAGCGGACCACCUUAUAACGCACAUCACGCAUGCACAGACAAUCCUGUUUCUGUAUAUUCUAUCAAUCGCAAACUGAGAAGUAAGAAGGAAGUAAAAAAACAUGGCUGAAACUUCAAAAGUGCUUCUUGAAAAAGCGCUCUUAUAAACCAAAAGCAAAUUAUAAGUUUCUUUACCAAACGUAUGGCCAAAUAUUGAUAGGGAAAAUGGAGUAAGUGCUAGCUAACACCAGUACGUAAUUAGGUGCAUAACUUUAAUAUCAAAGAUGAUGAAGGACACCAGAGGAGAUAGGACCCAGCAUUUGAAUUAAGGUGCUGAACUGAAGCUGCUACCUUCUUCAGCAAGGAUGAUCUGAAUCUCCAGUCGUACUGCAAACAUUGUAUUUAAAAACAUAACUUAUUAAGGCUCACCUUAACCGCAUCGAUCCUUUUGUUAUGAAUCUCUCCUUAUAUGACGACAAUGGUGGUGGUGAUGCCCGCGAUGGUGGUGGCGAUGGCAGUGAGGAUGGCGGUGGUGGUGAUGAAAAUGGUGGUGACGGUGGAGGUGAUGGUUGUGGAGAUAAUGAAUCUGAUAAAGAUGGUGGGGUGAAAACAUUGGUGUCUGUAUCUGCCAACGAGUAGGAGGAGGAGGAGGCGGUCUGGCGAAAUGAACUGGCGGCUACCGUGACUGAAUAGAGGAGGAGGCGGCGGAGAUCGACUACGAAUGAGAUAGGGCAGAGAGGAAGCUGCUCCAGAAUGAGUGGCCACAUUCAUCAACACUAAUAACCUCAUCAACAACACAAAAUACGAAACACCCAAUUAUACUAAGCUCUGUUGCAAAUACAAGAAGCCAACACACACUUCUUAUAACCAAAGGACAAUUUGUCAAACCUAUGGCUGGAAAGCUCUAUCUAACUCGAGCAACUUACAUGGUACAGGACGUCUUCCCUGUUAUGGAAGCACUCCUUAUUAACUGAUCGAUCAGACAAAAAAUAAUUUCCACACAACCUAAUGGAAAAAUAGAGUUUCACACAAAUGUAAAAAUUGGAAAAGGAAUAAAUUCUGUAUAGGUUGCACAAUGCCAAUACCCAAAUGCAAUCUUUCUAUUAAAUUUUCCGCGAAUUUCAGCACUAUAUCACAAUCCAACGCACUAAACUACACUUUUUAAAAACGAUGAAUGCAACUAAAUUACUUAGUACUUAAUUAGUUUCAAAAGCUAAAAAUUUGGAUCUAAGAAGGAUACCAAACAACUGUACUUAUCUCAUCACCCUAAACUAAACACAAACCAUUCCUAGUUACAGAUUACAGAUACAAUACAAUACAAGGAUGUAGAAAAGCAUAUUCCAAGUUGAAGAUCCACUUUGCCAUAACAUCUUGCGAGCAACGAGUGAUAUUUGCAACAAGUUCCACCUUCAAAGAAUAAUUGAAGAAUCAUCAUAGCUUCAUCACUCUCACCCACCGCUGCAGCAAAAACGUAAAAGUCAUUGACAAAGUCUUCAGGUCAGGCUAUUCACAGUCGUUAUUAUUAAGCGAAAAAGAUGGCAUCACACACGCCAUAUAUUAUCAUGUUUAACGCAUCCUGACCAUUAUCAUUAGGUUACUAGAAAUCGGAUACUAGAGCUAGGGUAUGCUAUGCUUGUCAAAAAGAACUAGGAUAUGCUAAUAAAUCCACAUAUGACAAAUAUCAUUUACAACAGUCUCCUUUUCCUCUAUAAGGACUUUUUUUUUUUUUUCUUUCAACCAAGAAGUUUUGGGGCAUCGAUUCUCACCAAUGUUUGCAUUACUCAAGCCCAAAGCCUCGCUUCCGCUUUGUGUGCUCCCCUCUAGGCUGAACGCUGCCCUACCGUUGCAUUGUUUUUUAAACCAAGUAAGAACAAUCUAUUAUAGUUCCAUUACAUGUCCAGUCCACAACCACAAAAUUCUAUGCAGCCUUGUAGUAAUGCCUUUGAUUAAAAUGACCCAACCUCAAAUCAAAUAUUACAUCCAACUACACAAAACACAAAACCAGAUUUACAGAUAAAUCCGAUUUUGUUUUUGUGCCAAAAACUGAACACAUUUUUGUACUACAAGCAAUUGAAUUAUGUAUAAUUAAAAAAUAUGUUCAUAAGGCAGGGUAAGAAAGACUAAGAUACAAGUAGAGACAAACACUAGUGAUGUAGUACAACGGAAAAAUAGAAAACAAAAUUACGUGUAAAAUUGUUAUAUUUUAGCUUUUUUUAUUGAAAUUACUCGUCAAGGCCAUGCGUACAAAUAAAAUCAGAAUGAAACUUGACCUUCUAAAAUAUUAAGUGAUUGAUCAGACUAGUAAACUAGAUUGACUUCACACAAUUAUUAUAAUGGAAGCCAUGUGUGCAUGCACUUGUUUCAUACAAGUCCGAGUGAAGAAACUUCAUACCUUAGAAGGUGCACCAGGUUGAGGUCUCAAACCUCCAGAAUAAGGUUGGCUGUGGCUGCCGACUCCCUUGUGCUUAAUGGGACUUAUUUGCUCCUUGUUAUUAGAUGUCAAUGCCCCUUUAUUAGAGGUCUCACUGAGGUUAGCAGAUGGCAUUGUAUCCUCUUCAACAGAUUGACCCUUUAAUGGAAGGGUCGUUACAGAUGUCUGUGCAUCUUGAACUUUCUUGGAGAACUGUGUAGCUGCAGCACGGGCACCAGCUAUGGCUGCAGUGAGACUCGAUGAUAUCUCAACUUCAGAUGUUCUAGAUACAGGGACAUGCACAGAGAUAGAUCCUGGUUUCAAUGAAAAUGGAUCUUGUGGAUUUGGAAGUGGAAACUUUACUGGAAGGGGACUAUUAACUGGGGAAAGACCUCUAAUUGCACCUUCAUAUAUCUGAGACGGGUAAGUAAGUAAGUUAGGUCCAUUAAAAACAGUAGCAGAGAGAGAGAGAGAGUAAAUUUUUGUGCACAAUACGCACCUUCUUUUCCAAGUUAUAGACUCCUUGGUAGCCACGCAUCUCAAAUGGAACUAACAGUUUCUGCAAUAAUUGAAGGAAUAAAAGCUUAACAAUAUCUGAUUUGUACUUCUUCCAAAUCAUAGAAUUUGCCAGAAAUGGAGCAAUGCAAAAAUAAUACACACCUGUGGUUGCUCACAAAGCCAACACAUAUCAGUUAAUGCUUCCAGCCUCACCUGCAUGUGAACCAAAUCAGUCAGAGCUUAAUCAACAGUCUCAGAACCCAUGAAACCAUCACAAUAUCAUGAAUCAAACAGUCAUUGGUAAAAAGGUAGCCCACCCCUUCAGGUACCAUCUCCCAGGAUGCAAGUUCUUCUCGUCUAAGACAUCCAACCACUUCGACACACCCUAUCUCAAAGAUGAAACCAUAAUUUGUCAAAAUUUGUCUGUGUGAUGUCUAGAGAAAACCACCUAAGCAAGGAAGACAAAAAUGAAAUAGUUUCGUUCUUUUAAGUUGAAUUAAGAUUGAUCAAGAGCACGCAACCGCCUCACCCUCAGAAUGUUAUUUAUCCUCCCUGACCAAACACUGGAGAUAAAUUCAUUGGGAAGAAACUCAAGAUGUAUUUAUGCAACACAUGCACAAAAACAAGAAACAUGCAUCAAACAAAGUACCAAACUUGGAAUACCUAAAAGUCUUGAAACCGGAUAAUGUUCUGGAAAUUUAAGAUCCGUGAUUCCAUCAACUGCAUAAAUUUCCCUGUAAAAUUCUUCCAUUGCUUUAAUUGUAGCCUCAUCAGGAACCUUACCAGCGGCAUGAAUCCAAAGACGGCCUUCAAAAGACAAAUUCAAGGAUUUAGAAAAAUGCGCAUCUCAGUCAAAAUUAAAAUAACCAUAACAAGAAGAAUCCAAUAACAACUAUCACAACAAAAAAAAAUAUCAAAACUGAAGAAAAAAAGGAAUAACUGAACUAACACUUGAUAUUCCGCAUUCAAAUUUAACCGAUGAAUCAAUCUUUUGCUCAGAAAUCAAACUCUUAUAAGUCAAAAACUUGCUUCUCUAAAAAAAUAAGAUCCAAACUUUGCAGCUUACUUAAAGUUUCUACUUGUUCAGUUCCCAGCUAACAAAAAUUCUAACACUCCCACUUAACGAACUAGCUAGCAAAUAACAGACCACAUUCUCAAAAGUUCAAAACUUUAUACUCCAACAUCAAAAAGAUAAGAUUAAACCAAAAGGGUAUCAGAAAUUUGAACUGAAUUCGGAGAUUUUAAGGUAAAUUUCUCACUCUCUCACUUUAAGAACUAGCUAGUAAAUAACAGACCACAUUCUCAUAAGUUCAAAACUUUAUGCUCCCACAGCAGAAAAACAUAAGAUUAACUCAAAAGGGUAUCAGAAAUUUGAAUUGAAUUCGAAGAUUUUAAGGUAAAUUUUAACAUUCCCACUUUGCGUGGUAGCUAGUUAAUACCGGACCACAUUCUCAGAAGCUCAAAACUUUACACUUCAACAACAAAAAACAUAAGAUUAAACCAACAUGGUAUCAGAAUUUUGAACUGAAUUCGAAGAAUUUAAGGUUGAAACCUCUGAUAGGGGAAGGCCAGGACCUGCCCUCGACGCGCUUGAUGCCAUAAACCAGUAAAGAAGCCCAUGGUUGGUGCAUAGUCAAACAUGGGUUUCUGUAAUUCCCAGAAGAAGCAUGUCCUCCUCCUCCUCCUCCUCCUCUUCUCAUCUCUGAGAUUCUUCAGAUGGGAUUUCGGCCGUUUGAUCUGAUUCUCGCGCCGCUUUUUCAGUUAACUGGAAAAAGGUUCUGUAUUGACGACUUUCUAGCGACGGUGGUAAAUAAGGAGGCAGAUUGUCUGCCCUUCCCAUUUCCUCUUAUUCGUGUGGUCAUGAUUAAAUCACGUCAACAUUUUAUGUUCUUAUUAUUUUUUAUGUUAUUAUUUUUAUAAAAAAAUUAAUAUAAAAUAUUAACGUAGUUUAACUGUGACCGUACAAAAUAGAAAGGGAUGGAAGAAGCUCUGGUAAAUAAUGAAUGUGUUUCGAUCGGUCAAUUUGGUGACAGGUGUCAAUUACACGUGUGAGGAUAGAAAUUUAACACUGUAAAUCCAUUAACCCACGCAAGAUUCAAUGGUUGACGAUGACUCUCUCACGUGCAAAGCGCAUAUUAAUUUUAACGAUUUUUUAAUAAAUUAUUUAAAAUUAGCAAACGAAGAAAAACACAAAGACCAAUUUUGCCAAACUGAAAACAUGGAAUCAAAUUGCGCGGUAGGGUAAAAGUAAGGGAAUUAGGCGUCUAGGGAGUUUUGUUCAUGGGUGGUUUCGUCAUUUUACUGUAGAUUGUGAAGGUAAAAAAACGGUUGUUGAACAUCAAAACGGGAAAGGAUCCUAUCCGGAUCCCAUAAGUUGCCUGCAAAACUUACCUCCAGCACAUCAACGAAGCCAUCGCAGCUUCUUCUUCUUCCUCAAACAGGUCCGCGAAGCCACGGUCGCAACCUUGCCUCAAACAAGAGAGUGAAGACAUCGAUCCCGACGACAUCGUGUCUUCUUUAAAGUAGGCUGUUGCCGUGUCACCACCGUGUCUUGUGUUGCAGACUCUAUGAGUCAACCACGACUUGAGAAUGCUCCGCCUACUUUAAUGGAGAAGAAGAAACGUUGUCGUACUUGCGAGUGUGCAGUUUGCCUUCGGAAGGCCUGCAACGACAUUCUAUGCCCCUACUGGAAUAGGGUUCCGGCUGGCGUGACUAGUGUUGGCGAGGGCUCUGAAAUAGCUUGUGUGCGCCGUCUUCGCGAUGAUAAGAUGUGUGGGCACAAUAUGGCGUAUGCUCGCACCCUUUUCUUUGGUGAUUGUUUUAACUAUGGCCACGAUAUUUUUGACUGCCCGAUACAAGAUGUGGGAGCUAAGUCGAACCAUGACUCCAUCUAGACGUAUUGUAUUACCACCCUCCCGUAUCGCACAAGUCACCGGAAUUAUCCAUUGUAAAAUAAUAACCGCAUAUGACCCUGCGGAAGCUGAGGAUUUCCUGUAGAGGUGAAUGUUCUGCUUAAUUUUCUCUUUAGUAUUUUAGAUGCAUGCUACAAUGCUUCUCUCGAUCUCAUGCUGCAGAUUGUUGGUUAUUGUGUUACAAUUCAUAUUUGGUGAGUUCUAAAUAUUUCCACUGUACGGAUUAUAUAUGGAGUGGAUCCGUGGCACCAUAUUUUUUAUACAAGAUUUGACACAAAGUCUUAAUACUGGUUUGGUACUUAGGUGCUUUUAUAAAAAAAAGUGAGUAUAAAAAAAAAAAAGCUGACCUAAAAAAUGUGUUUGGUAAACACUUAAAAACAACUUAUUUUCACAAUUUUAGGUGAAAAAAAAACUGAAAACGUGAAGCAGCAAAAAUGAGCUUAUUCUCACAGCACAGCAGAAACAGUUUUUUUUCAAAGCACAGCAAUACCAAACCAGUCCUAACCAUUGGAUUAUCCCACUAUCAAUGGUUGAGAUUUAGCAUGACAAUUGCGUAAAACUCACCUGAAUACUCUAGUUCUAUUUGUUGUGUUUGUUUGAUGAUUUCCAGUGACUUUAUCAAGUUGGAUAUUGUCCUUGACAUAGUAACCAGCGGCUGUGCUUCCAUCUCCGGACGUGAUACUAUGAUUGUAAAGCAUAUCUGCCUUGUAAUCAUGAAGUUUACCAUUGAAUGAGGAAGUGUAGAACUCUAGAUCAGAUGUACAUUGUAAGCUGAAAUUGUAUCGCAAUAACAAUAACGAUAAGUGCUGUAAAGAUCAUAAAAAGAUUACAUUCACCAAAAGGGUUUUACCAUCAAACAAGGAUGAUUGCUUUAUUGAAAAGUCACUUUUGUAUUAGAGACAAAGAAAAGUAACAAAUAUGUAAUUCAAAAUGGUAAAAAUAUCGGUCUUUGUACUCAAGGUCGAGGUUAUGUGUUCAGUUGUCUUUUUAACACCCAGUAAAUUACUUUGGAAAUUUUCCAUUCAAUAUGGUAUCAAAGAUACACUUUUAAAGUCACAUAAUUAUUAUUUAGAUUUUCUACUUAAUCACCUCCUCAUUUAAAAGAACAGAACUAUAUACACUGGAAUGAAUGGUUAUCUUGAUUCUUUCAGAAUUGGGAAGGUAAGAAAUUUCUUAAGAAGUUACACAAUUUUUCUUUAAUAGUUUGGAAAAUAAUUGGUGAAACAGACUCUCAUAAAUUAAACCGUAAAAAUUGUUUAAAAAGUUAAACUACUCGACGGACUAGAGUCUAGACUACUGGAGACAAACCCUUAAAGGGGUAUUUGUUUCUCCUCACUAAAGUUCAUUGGACUGAACUAGACUAAAGAUUAGUCGAGUCCCGUGUUUGUUUCCUGGCUAGACUAGUUUUAAUAGGAUUAACUAGGACUCGCUUUCACUAACAACCUCACUAGCCGUUCUUAACGUGUUCCCCCGAAAACCAUCGGAUUAGCUAAGAACUUCUUCGGCCUGCUCGAAUCACCUUCCCGACCUCGAUUUCAACGACACAAGCUUCAAGCGCAGCUUCAUCUCCAACGACGAACUCGUCGACUUCUUCAUCUUCUUCUCCUUCACUGCUUUGUGGCUUUGAAGCUACUGAUUUUGGCUUUGCCUUCGGCUUGCCUCCUCAUCAACUGGGUCAUCUCCGCCAUGACUGCUUCGCAAUCUCAGUAAAUCAAUUUUUGUUUUGGGUUUUUGGGUUUUUGGGUUUUUUUUCCUGGUUUCUGGGUUUUUUUUUUUCUGGGAUUUGCAGGUUUAAUUGGUUACUAUAUGGCUUGCCUUUCUUUUUGGAAUCUCUGAAGGCUUGGCGAAUGGUUAACCAACAAAUUCUCUUAAUUAAACAAGAAAAGUAAGAGAUUGAUGCAUAAUUUGAUAGAGAGAAAAUGAUGGAGAAGAUAAACGAGGAAGGGUAAAGGAAGGAAGGGAAAAGAAAAUUUGCUUGGGUCCAUUCAUUUCCAGACUUCAUUACCCUUUAAUUAUUAAUUUUUGUUUAAUUUUUAAGCCAAAAGUGAAUUAAAAAUGGCAAAAAAAAUAUAGUCUGUGACUUAGUCCGACAUUGCACCAAACGCUUCACUAAAUUAGUUCAGCUUAGUCUAGUCUAAGCCAGUCCAGCUUAGUCCAUGAAGUUAAUCCAGUUCAAGACACUCCGAUGCAACAAACGUAAGUACUUAAAAGCGAAUAUACCUAAGUUCCGAAAAAUCAUGUUUUCUACCAAAACAACACAUUCAUCCUGUUGAAUAAAACAAAAGGAAACCCAAAAACAAGAAAAAUAAUCUUAAAUUGUUCACUCUUCAAUCAGUUGACAAAAGAAACACACACAUAUAUAUAUAUAUUAUAUAGAAUACACACACAUAUACAUAAUUAUUUUGUGCAAAAGUUUAAACUUUAAAAUUUAAAAUUUUGAUUAGGAAAUAAAUUAAGGAUCACCCAUUUCCUCCCAGUCGCUCUCGCUCCUUCCUCUGCUCAGAGUACACCACUCCCUCCAACACAGAAACGGUAUUCUUUUCCACAGAAAACGACAGCCAGAAGAACGCAACCCACCAAAUCCCCCACCCAAGAGUCUCAUGCUUUUCUUUCACUCCGUCUCUUCUUCUUCAUCAUCUUCCCUUUCUUCAAGUUUCAGUCUUCCAGUUUUCAAACGAACCGUUGACUUUGUAGUCGUUGACCAGCUCCUGUGAAAUGGACCAAUCGGUUCUGGACGACAUAAUCAACCGACUUCUCGAAGUCCGAGGCCGACCCGGGAAGCAGGUCCAGCUGUCGGAGUCUGAGAUCCGGCAGCUUUGUCUGGUGUCUAAAGAAAUCUUCUUGCAGCAGCCUAAUUUGUUAGAGCUUGAAGCACCCAUCAAGAUUUGUGGUAUGUUUCUCUGCAAAACAACCUUAAUUUUGUCGUUUAAUUUCGAAAUUUAGUGAUGGGAUUUGUUCUGUGGGUUUCAAUUAGUUGGGGUUGAUUGGAAAGUUCAGUUCUUUGAUUUGUUUAGGUUGUGUGAACUCAUCUUUUGGGGAAAUUUUGGAUGUUUUUGUUUCUGACCGAUGUUUGUUUUUGUGGAAUAAUCCGUGAAAAUCGGUGUGUUGUAUGGCAAAACAUUCAUCUGAGUAUACAAGUCAUCGAAUUGUUCCAUUUCGGAUUGUCAUUUGAUAAAUUAGUGAGCCAAUGUUUGUGCUUUGAUAACAAGGGCGACCCCAAGCCAACAAGGCUCCCGGCAUUGCGAGGGUCGGGGGAACCUCAGCCUUAACCUUGCUUUGCAAAGAUGUUGUUUCCACGACUCGAAACCAUGACCAUUCGGUCACAAAGAAGCAACCUUUCCGCUGUGCUUUGAUAUUCGGGGUAAAUUGUUUGAGGUCGCACAAUAUGUUCAAUACUAGGAUUGGAUCAGUCAAACAUUUUUGUGCUUUGAUAAUUGCGAAGGUUGUCGUGUGCUUUGGUAGUGAGUAUAGUUUGGUUACUGAUUUUGGGCAUGAAUAGCUUACUUGGAACAAUUUUGGAUGAUUCGGUUACAAUUUGGUAAACCUUUUAACAUUUCAAUUUGGUAAACCGUGUUAAUUGUUUGUAGAAUUGCAUUUGUACAAAAUAUUGUAUCAUAGACUUUCAACUUUUUUUUGCCGAAGGAUAUUGUAGAAGAUCGGAUGAAAUAGUGAGCUCUACUGCAGUGUCUGCUUUAUACUCAUGUCAAGUAAUGUAACACUUGUGAUCUUGUUAAAAAUGCAAAGAAGCUUGGAUAUGUAAUCGUUGUGUGUGUUGUGUUUAUAUAUUUGUGCACGAGAGUAUGCUAAAGUUCAGAUAUAUUUUUAGAUGAAAGGUGACCUUUUUUAUUUAUGAUAUUGGAGGGGUGUUGCAUAAAAUUGUGAUACCUGCACACAAGGUUGAUAACGUGAAACAGGGAGGGUGUGUAAAUCCAUCCUUCUCACAGAGGUUGUGAGUUUCAAUAUGUAUAUUCAAUUGCUCUUAUUUUCUUCUUCUUCUUUCAUCAUUCAUUCAAAGUUUGUUAUUGACCAAAAGAAAGAACGAAGUAAUUUAUUAUUAAUCAACUGAUAAUAAAGUAACUUAUUUUGUAGAUUGUUAGUUGGUAAGUCUAGUUUUGCAGACUAUGUAAGUUAUGAAGAUAUGUGAUCUUUUCUGAAUUAAUUUGAGGGAUGUGAAAAGUGGGCAUCUGGCGUUGAAAAUUAGUUUGUUGGAAGAUGAUGGUAAGCUAAGGUUUAUGGGUACUCUGAACAAUAAUAAAAACUUAAUCUUGUAACCGGAAAACCUAAUCUAGAUCAUUGCGCUGGGAGUUAUGGGUUAUUAUAUUCUAGUAAUGAGGUACAUGACUUCUUUGUGAAAGCUCAUAAUUUGUGCUCAUUUCAUCAUUUCUGUCUUGUAAAGUUGAACAGAUCAAAUAAUGUAGAAAGAUUCAGUCUGAUUGCUUAGUUUAUAUGCUUUUACUGAUAUUCUUAUGUCUUGCCUACUUUUUCAUAUAAAUGACUUUAGUUUUCAACGAUUUAAUCUCAUGAAUUCUGAAAAGUGAACUGCUUAUCGUUUAAGGUGAUAUACAUGGUCAGUACUCCGAUCUUUUAAGGCUUUUCGAGUACGGUGGACUACCUCCUAAAGCCAAUUACUUGUUCUUGGGGGAUUAUGUGGAUCGGGGAAAGCAAAGUUUAGAAACAAUAUGUCUUCUCCUUGCAUAUAAAAUAAAAUAUCCUGAGAAUUUUUUCCUCUUGAGGGGAAACCAUGAAUGUGCGACCAUAAACCGUAUAUACGGAUUUUAUGAUGAGUGUAAGAGAAGAUUCAAUGUGAGGCUAUGGAAGACAUUCACAGAUUGUUUUAACUGCCUUCCAGUGGCAGCUCUGAUUGAUGAAAAGAUUCUCUGCAUGCAUGGCGGUCUUUCUCCCGACCUGCAUAAUUUAGAUCAAAUCAGAAAUUUAACGCGGCCAACAGAUGUACCAGAGACAGGUUUACUCUGUGACCUUCUCUGGUCUGAUCCCAGUAAAGAUGUUCAAGGUUGGGGAAGGAACGACCGUGGAGUUUCGUUUACAUUUGGUCCUGACACAGUGACGGAGUUUCUUCAGAAGCACGAUUUGGAUCUCGUUUGUCGUGCUCACCAGGUUUUAUUGCUUGGCGUUUUUUCAGUUCAGUUCAUAUCCUCUUUACACUUGCAGGACUGUAUAUACCUGUGGGAGCCAAACAUCACUUCCUAUCUGGGCUUUUUUGGUCGCGGGUUUUGUGUGGUUCUAAUUUCUUUUUUACGUAUUUUUAAUCCAGAGAAAUUGUCAUCUCUUUGGUAUAAGAAUGAAGCCCUUGGCAUUCCCAGACCUCCACUGCUGGUGUAGUGGUAGUGGCAAAUGUUGCUUCUUUCUAUACAGUCUUGCACUGACUAUUGAGGAUAUGGAAUUUUAAAUUGUUUUCAUGCUUUAGAAUAAUUAGUUAUGUUUUCCUUUUAUCAUUGACAGGUUGUGGAGGAUGGCUACGAGUUAUUUGCCAACCGCCAACUUGUGACGAUAUUUUCAGCACCUAAUUAUUGUGGGGAAUUUGAUAAUGCCGGUGCCAUGAUGAGUGUGGAUGAGACAUUAAUGUGCUCUUUUCAAAUACUAAAACCUGCAGAUAAAAAGCCGAAAUUCAAUUUUGGGAGCAUGACUACAGCUAAGCCUGGAAAUACUUCGUCUGGAGUUAGCGCUUUUGCGAGCACAGCAACAGCUAAGCCUGGGAACACUGUUACAGGAAUCAGGGUAAUUGCAACCUUUUACUCAAGAAACAAAACUUUGUUUUAUGAAGGAAGCUUUAGAUGGCAUGUUAGACAUUUACAGCUUGAAUUUUCCACUAGUUUGCUUGUGUCACAUCAUAUGGUGUCUGAAGGCUUUCGCUUGCAAGAAAGCCACUACCAUGCUUGCUUCUAUUAUUCCGAUAUUGCAAGAUGAUUUACUAUGAUUAUCAUUGUAACAAAGAAAAAAAUUAUGUUCAUAAGAUGUGCAUUUUCUUUUCGAAUUUGGUAGAUAACAUGUAAGCAUAUGCGUUCACUUCUACACUAUGUUUGGUCUUUCGGAUUUGGUAGAUAAAAAGAUUUGUUUUCUGUUUAAAAUUUCAAAGUUCUCAUCUUGCUCCUACGAAUUAUAUUCUGUUGUAAUUCGUUUCCAAGAGUUCUGAUUGGUUUCCCCUGCAUCAGCUUUAGGACCAUCAUUCCGGUUGUCCUUGAAUCUGGGGAGUGAAUUGCUUCUUAUUCCAUUAUGCCAAAACUUUUCUGGCAAGCAAAUGUUUUCUUUUUCAGAAUCUUUACCCACGAAACAUCUAUUGAUGUUCAAAAGCGGUUAUAAAUUUUGUGGUUUACAAUCUGAUUGAUUUAUUUGCGUAUGUAAUAUCCCGGUGGUUUAUUCUUGAUGCAUCUCAUUCAAUACAUUACGAAUCUGUAUGUCAAAUUGUCGAUGAAGCAUUUACGCAUUUUGAUCAAAAUGUACAUUUUGUUUUUCUUGCAGUCCAUGAUGCACAGGUAAGAUGUUUGAUUUGGCGGAGAGGGAAGGUGCCGAAGCCCGGUUUGUAUCAUGAUCGAGCCAAGGGUUCCAUCGGGAAGCAUGAGAGCCAACUUAAUUUCACUGUAAUCACUAGAAAAUAAUGCAGAAUGGUAUAAAGUUGGGUUAGAAGGUAGAAGGCUGUGUAUCUUCUUCUCUUCGUCCUUGUACACUAAUUGGCUGCUAUGAAUUAUUAGUCUCUCCGAGGCCAUGGAAAAUGUCAGAACAGCCAGAUGCCUGUGAUGAAAUUCGGGAAAUUUUUCUGGGUCUUCUUGUUAACAAAAUAUCUCUCUUGCAUGUUCACUUACUAUUUUUCAUCCUUUACUUUUUCUUGGUACGCUUUGGGACUUAUAGCUCUAGUGAUUAAAAGUAGCGAAGAUGUUUUUGCACGCUUGUUUUCUCUCUUUUUACAAAAUGUUUAUGUCGAAAAUAAAUCAAAUGAGAAUCAAUUCAUAUAAAUUAAUAUAGGUGUUCAAAGGAGAAUGAUCAGCCGACUUUAUUUAGUGGGAUAAGUUUAUAAGGCUUGGUUGUUGUUUAGAAGGAGAAUGAUGUGCGGAAAUCAUUUUUUCUUAAAAUAUUUACUCCAGCAAAAUAGUAGAGAAGAUUAGGUGUUCAAAUUAUGUUUAUUUCCAUCAUUUAAAUUGAUGAGAAAUGCUGAAGAUUAGGUGUUCAAAGGCUUAUGUCUAUUUCCAUCAUUUAAAUUUAUGAGAAAUGCUAAGGAAACUCUCAAAAGUGGGUCUUCAUGGACUUUUUGAAACCUCAAAAUUUAACGUUAAUUUUCAUACUAAUUUUAUAAAAUAUUAUGCAAAAAGCAUGUAAUAGCAAAGAGUGAGAAGCCCAUCAAAUCUGCCGGUGCCGGUGCUGCGAGGGGCCUUCAAAGUGGACGUCGUGUGGAGAAGGAUAUAGGGACACUAGGAUCCAUUCAUCUCUCACCAACAGGAUAAACACUGUUUUAACUAAGACAAACAGAUAAUCUAACUCCAAAAGAAAGAAAAACUUUCAUGAACGCGUUGCAUGAAAACCACUGUUCUAAAAAUUCCCGUCUAGCGCCGCCUAGGCCCUGUCUAGGCGCUAGGCGGCUAGCCACUACCCCGAUUAAUGCCUAGGCGUUUGAAACUUAAGAAAUGGCAUCUAGACUUGCUGAGGCACCACCUAGACCGCCUAGGCACCCGCCUAGCCCGCUUAGGUCUCAACUCACUUAGAUAGAAAAUAGAUAACUUUCAUUCUGCAUUUUGUUUUUUCCUAAUAAAUUGUAAGAGAUUUGUUGCAUACUUAAAUGAACACACAUUAUAUCAUUAUUUCACAUGUUUUCAUUAUGUUCUAAUACUUCAUAAUAUAUAUGCAUUCUAUUUUGUAGUUUAUGAUGAAGUUAUAUAUCUUUCAAGUAUAAGAAGACACUUAUUUACACAAAAUAUGAUAGAUUUACUUAAAUUCGCCUAGGCGUUAGGCCCUAGCCCGCCGUCCGACUAGUGCCUAGCGACUUUUAAAACCUUGAUGAAAACAUGUUUUUUGCGUUCAGGUCAUUUUCUACUCACAUGUUGUAGCAAAUGAGCAACAUGUUUCAUACAACGCAAGCGGAAAAAAAAAAUCUUCUAAAAGAGAGCUCUGGCUUCAGUCACGCCAGUUGGUGGCAUGUAGAAAACUAUAAGAUUAUAAGACAAAUUGCACACACGUUUAUUUGUUUGAGUCAUCUGAAGAGAACCUUCUAAAAUGUUAGGUGGGUUUACAUAUAGACCUUAAAUAAUAUAUGAGGUCUCAAUUAUUGUGUGCAUGGGACACAAAGCAUGAAAAUUGGGUUGUGAUGUUUUAGAAACACAAAUUGGGUUUGUCAUACUUGCAGUCACUAUAAAAAGAGUACUAAUGCGAUACAAAUGCAAACACAUAACACUACAAAACGAUGACCAAGUUGUACAGGUGGUCCUCGAUGACCAUGUAAUAACGACACUGUGUGAAGAUUAGGGUUCAGAAUUUAUAGGGAGAACUCUGAAUUUAUAUCGUCGGUAUAUUUUUCAAAAUUAAUCGACAACAGAGAGAAAAGAUCACGAUUAUUUAAAUCACUGGUGUAAAGAUUUAGUCCAAAAAAUAACUACAAGUGGUCCUGAGGUCUGGUGACUUCUGACUCUACCACCUGAUAAGGACAGAUCAGUGACUUUCAACGUUAAUCUCGGACUUAAAUCUGCACCACCGGCAGACGUAUUGAUCUGCAAGUCGUAUUGAUCCGCCAGUCUACAGAUCAUUGGUCGGCUCACCCAAUUAGCCAUCACGUGCUGCCACGUGUAACCCUAAACCAUAAAUUAUGCUUUCGUUUUUUCGUUCUUCUUCUGCAAUCCUUUCCUUGCUGUUCCUAUGGUUUUUGGGAAAUUUUGUUUAGUUGGUUCUUCCUUUAUUUUAUUUUUUUUUCAAAAUUUUUAUAUCAGAUUUGAAAUUUUCAAAUUAAGAAUUUUUAAAUAUUCAUUGGAAUUGUCUCGAAAUUUUAGAAACAUAAUGUAUAAUAUAUGGUGAUUUCCGAAAAAAAUAUUAUAAGUGAAUGAUUAAAUAUAAGGGUUUAUAAGUAAAAUGUGUUCGAAAUUAAUCAUGAACAUGAUAAAAGUACAAAAAUUAAUUACAAAAUCAAAAUUUUGAUGAAUAACUAUAUAAAAAAAAAAGUUGGAAUAUAUAAAAAAAAAUUUAUGUCGGAAUAUGUUUGGAAGAUUUCGGGAUAAUUUGAAUCAGAAAUUGGAAAAAAAUUUAUGUAUUCCAAAUUUCAUUCUUUUUUUUUUUUAAAUUUGAUCAAAAUUUGUAUCGAAAUUAGAAAUUCCUUUUUCUUUUUUUGGUAAAAGCGAAACUAGAAAUACUAAUAUUGCUUGUAUCUAGUCAUGAGACCAUUUUUUUUUUUUUUGUCGAAUAGUCUUCAGACUUCUUCAUGCUUGUUGUUUUGUAUGGUCUGUGAAUGCAACUUGAAAUGUAUGCAAAGUAAUUAAAGCACAUGCAUGAUGCAUGCGCAUUUUAUUCAAAAGAUAAUUGCAGAAAGAACCAUGCCAAAUCAGUAGUCAGAGAAAGCAUGAACCAAAGCACAUGCUGCAUUAUAUCAUAUGAUUUUUUCAUAUUAUAUAAUGAACUCAAAAACCAACUUUGAGCUUCACAUGAUUUCAGAGAUAUAAUAGUAUUUAUAAAGGAAUGAUCCGCGACACUACUUUUUUGUACAAUUUCUUUCAAAUAUAUUUGUGGGGCUCACUUUUUAAUAUCUUUCAAUAAUCCGAACUGUUUAUCUUUUACGCGUUUCCUCAAAUAUCAUGUACUAAAUUAUUCAAAUCUGAAACCAUAUGAUUGUUAGAUUAAGGGUUAUUUUGGGUUUCUUUGUAGAAUCGUAUUCGUUCAUUUUAUUCACUACAAAUAAAUGUCUUAAUGAUUUUGGAUUUGUUUAAUUUUAGCAAAUAUGAACUUUAAAUAAUGGUCUAAAAAAUAGACAGUUCAAAUCGUUAAAAUACAUAAAAUAAAAGGAAAAUUACUGAAAAAGUCUUGAAAAUUUUGAAUUUUAACGAUAAAAACAAAAUAAACGGUAAAGUGAAUAAUACCAUGAUUGACUUUUUAUUAUAAAAAUAUAGUUUUUCGUUAAAGUAAAUAGUACCGGAAGCUUUUCGUUAAAGUUCGCUAAAAUAAAUAAGUAUAAGGCAUGGACCAUGAUAAAUCGUUAUAAAAAUGAUUCUGUAUGUUCGAAACCAGGUCCAAUUUCAUGUAGAGAAAACUUCAACUCACCUUGGCCCCUUGUAGACUAAUAUUCAGAUUAUAUAAGCAGUACAAACACGUGCAGCUUAAUUAUCUAUCUACAUCUUGUCUUUUAUUUAUUUUAUAAACGCAGUCAUAUAUGCGCCUUUUAUUUAUUUUAUAUAUUAGAUGAUCUCUUCAUAACACGUAAAAUGAACAUAACAUAAUUUGUGUUUUCGAUACUAAUAAAAACUUUCUCCUCUUGGAAGGUUUUGAUCUCGCUAACGAUGGAGACAAUACAUCUUCUCUACGUGAAAGUUAAGCACGACUUCUUAAUAAGGUUCUGAGUCAAAUUAUAGCAGUUUGACUAUAAAUUCAAUAGCAAAAAUCAAAUUUUUAUCCCAAAAAAAAAAAAGAAUGAAAAAAGAAGAGAGAUAAUGCAUUUGAUAAAUUAACGUUCAUUAGUUUGUCCGUAAUUUGACUUUUAUUUUUCUGCAGCUGUAUUAUAUCAUUCCAUUAUUUGGGAGGGUUUUGGGGGCGAUGUUACAGAAUUAAACUCGAACUUACAUGUGUGAUCAAUGAACACGAAAACGACUAUUUAUUUUAAAUUAAAACAGAAUAAAAAGUUUUGAUUUAUAACGUACAUGCACACGUCAGUGAUGACAAACAUUGUUGGUGGCCCACGCAACAAGAACAGUUCAUACGUAAGGGAUGACCAAAUUUGUGUUUUCCUCCCACAAACAAAUGGAAUUGGAUGGCCAACGUUUCUUGAAUUCCACACAAAUUAAUGGAGCAAGAGACCAUAUGGUUUUACUAACUUAGGAGAGAAGCUACGAUGUCAGUCGCUAAUCUUUGUUUUUGCAUGAUCAUGACAAUCACGUAAUGAGCGAUACAAAAUGUAGUUAUGUAAAAAGUUUUAUAACCACGUAAUACGUGUUGUAAUCACGUUAUAAGUGUUAGAUGAAGUUGUCAUGUGCCACAAUUUAUUUCGUAGAAAAUAAAGUCGUUGUAUUUGAAGAGAAUAACUUGUAUAGAACGGAAUCACCAUCAUGUGGUGUGUUAAUUCAAUAAUACAUUACUAUGUGGAAAGAAACUUACAGUGACAAUGUAUUAUCGAACACAAAACAUCACGUGAAAAUAAACUUGUUUUAUGUAAGUCCUUCUCGUAUUUGAGUCCCACAUUAAUCUAGUUUCUAUGAGUAUGAUGCCCCAUUUGGCAGCAUCACUCCAAACUUUCUUGAGCGUAGGUAGGGCAAUGUGUCUUUCAAUUAGAUACCUACUCCACACUGCCAAUUUGCCACCCACUUUAGUCACAUACAUUUGCUUUUAUAUAAAGAAACAAAUUAUAUGCGUGGGGUUAUACCUAAUUGCACAUGUCUCAAAAUUAUUUUUGAGGAGAUAUAUUUAGGAAUAUAUUGCAAAUUUGUUGACCUCUUUUUCUUUUCAUUAAUUCCUUGCUCGAUUUUGACAUUCAUUUCAAAGAAAUUUGAGAUUUUGUUAUAGUUAAUCCCAUUUUUCAUCUUGUAUUAAAAAAUCCCAUUUUCAGGGCAGAAAUUCGAUAUUUUUUGUGAGGCUCAUUGUAUUAAAAAUGUAUUCAACAAUAUCGCCCAAUUUGUAGUACUCAGUACACCACUUGUCACCUAAAUCAUUCCUCGUUUUGCAAAUCAUAUUUUAUUACAAGUUAUUUUAAUAAAUGCACUAAAAUAUAGUAUACACCUGAACAUUGGUCAUUGAAUCCUUGAUCACUAAAUCAUUAAACACAUAUUCAACUCUCUGUUACUUUAGUCCAUACCAUACAACAUAUCAUGGUAAAAAAAAAAUACUAAUGAUAUCACAUUUUGUAAAUCACAUAUAAAUCAUCUCUUUAAUAGAUAUAAUACCUAUUUAUAUAGUUGACUCUACGUAUAUUAAAGAGGUAGUUAAAAUAUGGUCUACAAAUGUGGUAUUCCAGCCACUUAGUACUACGACAUAGUUAUAUUCUUUUUUCACUUGUAGGUGAGAAGUCUUAGGUUCGAGUCUCGUCAAAGAUAAAUUUAAACCACAUUAUUGCUAGCUUAUUAUGAAACUAAGUUCACCCCUCUCCCUCCUUAAUAUAUAUAUAUUUGUUAAAAAAAUGUGGUAUCCCAACAUAUAGAAAGACAAAAAGUCAGAAGACAAGAGCUAGGUAAAAAAAGCAAAAAGAAUAGGCUAGAAAAGGCGAGGUAAAACAAGAAAAUUGACUAUCUCGCUUGUCAAUACGAAUAUCUGUCUUUUUAAAUUAUUAAUUUGUUAAAAAAAAUUUUAAUAAAUGAUAUUAUCUAUACCGAACGAAAUUAAGGUGAGAAAUCCCUCCUCUUAUUCUAUUCCUCAACUCUUUGAAUCCGGCAUAUCACUUGAGGCAAGUUCAAUUGAAUCCCCGCAAAAGGAGCCCCAAAACUCACUCUUUGGUUUAGAAGGAAAAGGAGAGAAAAAACAGAAGGUGGUACGAAGCAAUUACGGAAGCGCACAGAGACUCGGAUAAGGAGAUAUAUCCACGUGAACUUAUCAUAUCACACACAGAUGCACACAGUAGUUUUAGUUUAUGGUGUGCAUCCGAAGUCCAACCACAUGGGAGAGGGGCUGUGCGCAGUGCAGUUGACUGCACACUGAUCGAGAAGACCAGAUUAAACUGAUAUGAUGGGUGACUGAUCUGAUCAUACUUGCCAAGUGUCCUCCUCGUGAUUCCAACUAUAAUAUACCUAAACCCCUACACACCUAUUUGAUUAAUUAAUUAAACGGAAUUGGAUUCCAUUCGGAUUCCACAUUUUAACCAUUAUUACGGUCAUAAAUUAUUUAUUUAUUUUAUUUAAAAUUAAACAUAAAUAGUAUUUGACGAAAACUAGUUGUAUAAUGUACAAUGAACGGCUAGAAUCCGGAGAGAUUCCUCUUUCUAAUUAAACAAUUAAUUAAGUAGUUAAAGAAUUACGCGGCUCCAAUUUCUGAACCGGAUCCCCUCCUGAGCAUAGGGACCGGAGCCUGCUGAGCAACUCAUCCAGAAUCUUGAAAUUUGAUCAAACGGUUCCAAAUAGAGGACUUCUCUAAAAUUAUAAUAAUUGCAGUCGUUGAAUUAAAUUUCAAAGAUCCAGAUAAGUUGUUUAGCAGGUUUUGAUCCCCAUGCUCAGGAGGGGAUGUCGUUCCUCCAAUUUCAACAUUAUUGUGGUUGUGCCACAGCAACCAAGGUUCGUCUACGGAGAGUGUUGUUGGGAUUUGGAUAAUUAAUCGUUUAAUCUUUGUCUUGUUUAUAAAAAAAUUUGGUUCUGACCAUAAAAAAAAGAUUACAUUGUAAUUUGGUCCUCCUCCAGAUGUAGAGUUGUAGACUGCAGGGAGCCUAAAUGGUGGGUGGAUUCAAUAUACGUUGGACAGCUCACUUGAGCUGGUUCCUUCUAAUAUGGACACUUGGAUACUGGCGUCAUAUUCAUCCCUUUUGCUAGAUUCCGUAAUGACAUUUCUGAAAUUUGCAGCCUGCCCCCGUGAGAACAUCGAUGAAACGUCAUGACAACGGCAUCAUAUUCAUCGAUGAGGCGUAAAAAUGUCUGACCAUGCUAUUUCAACAACACUUCUCAUACUUGACAUGUUUGUAUACUUUGGUUUCACUCGAUUUUGGACAAGGAUUGUCUGCCUUUCCAUUUUUGGUACCCUCCCGUGUCCUUCUGUUUUGUAUGAUUACGAUUAAGUUACGUCAACAUUUUAAAUUAUUUUUUAUAGAGAUAAUAAAACAAAAAUGAAUAGUAAUAUAAAAUAUUGACGUGGUUUAACCGUGACUACACAAACAGGAGGGCACCAGAAGUGGGAGGGCAGACAAUCCUUGUCCCUCGAUUUUACGUAAUCCUACUUAGUGUCAUAAUGGCAGUGUAAUGUGUAAUGCAAAAUUUUCUUUUGAUAUGCAUUUCUAACAAGGGAAUCGUUGCGUAAAUAUGUCUGACCAUGUCAUUUCAACUGUAGCUCACGCCAACAAGCUUGUAUACUUUGGUCUCACCAGACUUUACGUAAUCAUCCUUAGUGUCAUAACGACAAUGUAUUUGUGUCUUAGAAGUUUCUUUUGAUAUGCAUUUUGAUAAGGGAAUAAUCGCGAAAAGAUAUCUAAUCACGCCAUUUCAACAACUCUCAACAAAAUAUGCGUAGGUACUUUAGUUUCACUCCGUAAUCCCACCUAAUGUAAAAGUUGCUCUAAUCAGUCACUAAAUAGAAAUCAUAGGUCCAAAUAAACGUAUACUAACACGACUAAGAAAACUUAGGUGCAAACAAACAUAGUAAAAGAGUGGGCACACUGAUCUAGCUAAAUCACCUGCCUAACAUGCAUCCCAAGUAUCAUUAAAAAGUCAAAACAUCCGUUGAUUAUGGGUCCCCUAUUAGGUAUAUUUCAAUUUUUGUGGCAUAAUUUGCAUAUGAACUUCCAACUGUGUACCCAUUUCAACUUUUCAUGUGAUUUAAUGGGAGCGUUGAUUAUCCUUGAUUUAAAGCAUAUGCUAUAAUAUGCCUGCACAAAAUAUAGUACACUUGCACAUGGAUAUUUAAAUUUUAAGGGCACAUACUAUAUAGAAAAACAGUGCUACUAGAUUCACCUCAUUGUCUUAUUUCUACGCCCCACAUUAUAAUCUCAUCCAUCAUACAAAAUUAAAAAACUAAAAUCCUAUUCAUCCACCCCAAUUAUUCCUAAAAUAACCUCAAAUAUCUAAGUCCUUUUUUUUUUUCACCCCAACUGCAUCACCAGUCGAACGGCCUCGAUUUGAAGCUAGUUGACGUUGGGCUGUGCAGUCGCCGUUGGACAUGAGAGGUCCUCUCCUCGAAAUUCCAUCUACAUCUACAACAUGCAGAUCGAAUGAUGAUAGGUCUAUCGAACCCCUAAUACCAACUUUAUGACAAAUAUGAACGAAACAAUAAACAACCAUGGAAC